rnacentral:lncRNA from 1 species
ACCACGGCACCUGAGCUUGCCAUCUUUUCCUGCUCUAUCUCACUCAUUUGUCCCGUAGCUACUAGCUAAGCCACCAUAUCAUCCAUGGCUUCUGGUGCCUCCACCACGCUGAAGAUGGCCUCUAUCGCCGCUUGCAUCCUGCUGGUCCUGCUGUCCAAUGGCCACCCUACCGCAGCGGCCGUUGAUUGUAUUGCGGCUUGCAAAGAACCGUGCCAGGGUUUUUCUAACGGGCUCUGCGCGGGUGGAGCCACCAGCGGUUGUACGACUACGGCAGCAGCUACAGCAUGCCGCAAUUUGGCGUUCUCGCAGUGUGCGAACACCUGCUUCACAGUUUGCACUGCUGUGAGCAUCGCGCCUUGCACUUGAAGAUGCAUUCGUGUUCCUACUUCCACAUUAUUGUUACUGCAGAAUAAUAUGGGUCAGUGCACACAAGCAUACAUGAUGAGCCACUGUCGUUUUUCCAUUUUGUCAUUUAUUUAUUGAAGGCAAUGUACGUUUUUCCAUUUGAUCAUUUACUUAUUGAAGGCAAUGUACGUGUCUAUCUCCUGUGUGGUUGAGCAUGUCAUCUUGGAAUUCUGUCCAAAGUUUUACAUACCACCUUGUAUUGUUGUGUGUGGGUAUCAAUAUAAUUUAUGAACUAUCUUCCUUUACCAUAGACAUAUCUAUGUUUAUUUGCAAGCGUUAGCUAAAUUUUUCCUUGAUUGUGUAUUAAUCCCAACUGAACAGAUCAACUUUCCACUGCAAGAAACUAUUUAAUCUGUGACGAAACAAAAUUGUCACAUAUCACUAAAAAAUCGUCAUAAAGCAAUGCCCGUGACGAUUUUAGAUAACGUCAUGUAUUGAGCGUCACAGAUUAAAUCGAUCGACGUUUUCUUCGAAAUCGUCACAGAUCAACACAAUCUAUGAUGUUUUUUAUCUGUCACAAAACACCCUUAGGCCCAUGCAGCAGCCCAGGCCUAGUGUUUGUGAUGAAAAUAAACAUCACAGAUGGUUGCCACGUGGCUGGUGACGUGGUUGAUGACGUGGAUGAUGACAUGGCUAGUGACGUCAUUGAUGACGUGGCCAGUGACGUCGAUGACGUGGAGAGGCUUCACCAUAGUAUUUUGUAUCGACGUUAGACCUAUCGUUUAUUUCCGCUGCUUUUGAACUCUGAACGCUACUUUUAUGCAUUUGAACUAUCAGCUUGUAAUAACUUAAUGUGGGACCUGUAAUAAUUUCUGGAUUGUUGUAAUCUCUGGAGUCGUCUUGGUGCGAGUAUACUUUGUUUCAAUCCGAAACACGUGGUUGCAUCAGGUGAAACCCGACAGACUACCAGUUUAAUUCGAUUAAAGUGUCUAUUCACAUUUAAGGCAAUGUUGAAUACACUUUAGCCGGGUUAACUUGGAUGGUUCUGCCACACUGGCGCAUCCCUGAUUGGUCUGGCGCCUUCAGGUUCUCGAGCUGAAGGAGCUAUAGGGGCUCUAUAGCUACUGUCAUUUUGACUUUGGUGUGAAGGAGUAUGUGAUACCGAGGGUAUCGAAUCUUGCAUGUCGAGUAGUUUAGAGGCGUGUUCUGUCAGCGCUACCAACUGUUCUGUGUAUCUGUUCUGCGGCAUGGCUCGAGUGAUGAGAUCAAUGGAAGUAAUGGUGGCGAGAGGAGUAUGGUGCUGCCGAGUCUGGACUGCUUCGAAGGCGUUGUCUAGAUUCAUAAUCGGGAGCCUCUCUGUCAGUCGGCGGUGACAAUCCACUCUCGCUGCGUUCCUUGCUCGUUGCCGGGUUCUCUGAGCUUCGAUCUUCUCGUCGCCGGGUUCUCUGAGCUUCGAUCUUCUUCCCGACGACGUUGGCAGAGAGUUCAUCUUGCAAGACAUCAUCUGGAUGAUGCUCCUGUCGAGGAUUUCUAUCUGCUUGCUCGGCAUCAUCUGUAUCUGGCCCUGUGAUAAGGACGAAGAGUUCCCUGUCUGGAGAGAGGCUUCCAGAACUUUGGGUGAUGACUUUUGUAGAGCCAUUGUCUUCAUGGAUAGGAGACAAAGGUGCUCCCUCCUAGUAUGGAAGAACGUCGAGAUGGGCCAUGAAGUGUGAUUUGUUGUCCUGGGCGAGGGCAGGUGGCCUCAUGCCAGGCUAGUAGACGAAUCUGCCUUGAGGGGUUGAGGUGAUCAUCAGGCCCUGCUGCGAACCUGUUAGUGGAGUCUCCUCGUCAGAAUCCGAGUAGUGAUCAUAGUUGUGGUCCUUAAUCGGACAUGAGUUAGAUUGCAACCCGGAUAAGGCUGCUUGAUAGGUGGAAGCUGCGUUAUGGAGUCCGAAUGGGAGUUGGCUCGGAAUUUGACUUGAUUUGCACGAUGCAGAACCCGAUGAGAUAACCUGCUGGGGUAUUACGUCAAUAGAUCAACCAAAAGAAUGCGCAAUAAUAUCUACCACCAAAGGCAACCCAAAAGCAUUAUCUACCUUCAGUGCCAGAUCAGUCAUCAACAAAGAUCUAUGGAGACCUUGUUUUCUCUUGCUUUGGAUUUGGAGAUAGCAUAGAACAAAAGCCUUGAACCUAAAUAAACAAAGAAAAAAAGUACUGCAGUGCUAAAAAUAAGAAAUACCUCGUAGAAAAAUACCAGUAAUGGGUUUAUGGGUUCCCACUCAUCCUUGGGUAGCCACUUCUCUAGAGAGAUUCUUGUGUGUUCCGGUGUUGUAGUUUUCUGCGCAUGAUACAUAGCAACAUAAGGGCUAUUCCCCAACCUCAUAAUUGAUAGUAAUGUACAUCUUCUGGAAAGGACCUCUUUCUGUUGCAAGUGUGACUGCCACGCUCAUGCCAUUAAAGAAGUUAGCAGUUCGGUUAGGCAAUUAGUUGCCCACAGGAGGAAAGUAAAGCAACCGUGGAGAGUGAAGAGGCGUCUUUCUAGCUCCAGCAUCACCAAGCACACCACACCAGUCAUCAGCUAAUCUGAUGACAUGGCAGGAAAUUUAAGAGGGGAGAGAAGGAAUUAGUUUCAUCUAGAUGAAAUUCUUCUCGCACAAAACCAACUCUGAAUGUGUCAUGAAAUUAAAUGUACCCCAUGCCGCUUUUUAUGCGCUCUUAUUAAUGUUGCUUUGUCUAAGUUCAAUACACUUACCAAGACUAUCUCAUUUGGUGACUAGCAGUCCACCGAAGGGUACCCAGAUGGUUGAUUUGUAAACAGAGAGGAUCACAAGACCAUGAACUACUUGAUGGUAAUGCAAGGCACAAGACAUAGAGAUUUAUACAGGUUCGAGCCGUUAGUGUAGCGUAAUACCCUAUGUCCUGUUUUGGGGGAUUGUAUUGCGCCCUGCGCUCGGGUGUUGGUUGUUGUGUUGAGGGAUUGGCCGUCCUCCUAGGGGUACCCCUACGUAUCCUUAUAUACUCCUCUAAUAACUCUUCUUAAUAGGAUAGAUUACCAAGUAGAAUUAAUUAUGCAUGCACACUUGCAGUAACUGUCGCACCUAUUAGCCUUCCUUAUUUAGCGAGACUUCCUCGGGCAUCGAUGGUGUGCCGUUUCUAUAGUGAACGGUAAUGAAUGUGGACACUUUUAUGAGUGCUGACACGAAAGGUUCAAUUUGUAUGAAUGAUCUUUUGUAGGUACACUAACCACGCUUACGUUACAUUAACAAAAGGUUAGAGAAUUGACUAGUUAUUAUAGGAAGAGCCGUAAACUGUUGCCUCGCCACCAGCACUAACCCCGUAAGUCCAAGUAAUUGGCAGUUUUUUCAUUUGUGAGGACGCAUAGGUCAUGCAUGCAUCAUGUUAAAAACUUGCAAAUUGGAAAUUGGAACAACUUUCCUAUAGAUGAUUGGGAGGACUAAUGUCACUCUCACAAAAAUUUUUGCCAAAUCACCUAAGGAUUUUCUAGUUGUCUCGAACUGCAGCUAACUACUGUCAGAAUUUUUUUUCUCCGAGCUCUUAAAUGGUCUUGGUUCCAGAAUUUAGUAAAUGAUAUGCUGUAAAAAUUUCAUAAAUUUUGGUCAAGUGAAACUCGAGUUAUGCUUCAAUAAGUAACCCACUGUUUGCAAACUGCCACUAAGGUUCACAGGUAGCUCUGAAUGUUCGCUUCUCUGUUGAACAUUACUUUGAAACCUAGCAGAAAAAGGUCAAUAUCAAGAAGUAUGUCUGAAGCUAGUAGCAGUGGUUCAGGCUCCAAGUACUUCUUGCCAAAAUGGUGUCCUCCCGGGUUGACUCGUACCCAAAGGAGGAAGUUCCAGAGGUUAAGGCUGCAGGAGAAGAGGGAACAGAAGCUGGAGAAGCGAAGGAAUGAGGCAUUCAACAUGAUGAUAUGAAAUUGGCCACAAUUUUUGUUCUUGGGAGGUAUCUGUGAGGUGAGAAAAUAGGCAACAUGUGUGGAAAAUGCUAAUACGCCUACGGUGUGGCAUAUUUUGUGUUGUAUCAUAUACUUUCCGAAACAGUUGUAAUAACCACAUCUUUUUUCCCAGCGGAGUCGCCAAAAUGAAUUGGCGCCUUUUCCGACCAACACAUGAGUGGGCUAGCUCGCGUGUAGAUUGGAAUUCUCCUCGUCGAAGCUCCUGCACCUGGCCGGUCAGAUCGGUCAGGGGGUCCGAUCGGGCCGGUCCUCGUAGGGGCACCGUGAAAACCUACGUCCACCACCUCGGGAGGGAUACUGUCGGAGAUGGCGAACCUAGGGCUGCUCUAAGAUCGGGCCGGUCAAGUUGUUUGUUGUGUGAUGAAAUAAGGCACUAUGUACAUCUUUGCUUAUUAUUUCCCACUGAUAUAUGGGUACGGACGUGUAAUCAUUAAUUGUGCUAUUCAUUCAGCUGACGACAGUCAGUUGACAUCAACUUGAAAGUAUGCUUGAAUUCGUAAGGUGUCCCGUGCAAGUAGCGUGCCUACAACCGCGGCAAUAUUUUUUUCUGAUCAAAAUCGAUCGUCCUUUUUGUUGAAAACAUAAGUAUGAUAUACUUCACGUGAUGUUAGACUUGAAAUUUUUUGAGUGCAAUAUAUGUGUAAGUAUUCAAUACUAACAUUUUUUCUCUAAACAUUAACUACCAACAUAGCUUAUCAGAUAAUGCAGCAUUGUUUAUCCAACAUGCAUAACAACCUAACACUCAGACACUGAGACACACCAUCCAUUACCGUCACUGAAUCUAUGUCAGCGCGCUGAGCCAGGGUUAGGAACCUCCACUAACUCGUUAGAGGCAAACCCAAGAUCUAGACUGCUUCUGCUUAAUUCCCUCACUAGCUUAAUCCACUAUGAAAUGUAAAUGCACAACACUCUUAGCAAUUCGCUCAUAAGAUUCUUGAAUUUGGCAAAUUUUUGGUGCAAUCUUCACUGCAAGAAAAACGACCUUUUGUCCAACAUAUUAGUACCGGCCACAUUUCAACCCGGUAUUAAUACCAACAUUAGUACCGGAUUCAAUUUAGUAGCCACCGGAGACCUUUUAGUACCAGGUCAUAAGACCACCCGAUACUAAAAUGUUGAAGAUAGGUUGCCAACGGUGAGGUGGAGCGUGGGGACGAUGACGGUAAUAGCGGCGGGGAACUUCAACCCCCAGCCUAAGGGGCCAUGGCAGGUGGCAGGGAGAGGUUGAGGCUGUAGAGGAGAGGGUGUUUGAGCUUUGGGGGUGGCGAUUUGGAUUUGUUGAAGGAUAGCGGUGGGAUUUGCUGCUCAUUGUGGUUCAGGUGGAGGAACAAAGAAGAAAGAAAGAGGCGAAAAUGUGUUGGCCAACACUUUCAAGGAAAAGGAUGAGGUGAGAUGGAGGAAUGCGUGAGCGAGGGCGUGGAUAGGCAACCCUUGAAAUGGAUUUCCAAGGACGGAUCAUAGGAUGAACUAUCCCUGGAAAUGGGGCUAUUGUUAGGAGCGGAGGGAAACAUGACCUGCGUCUAUAAAUAAGUAUUUUUAGGGGUAGGUCUUGUUUCUGUUCGUUCUAGGAAAUAUAUAUUUCUAGAGGUACCCCACCCCAUAAUUGUCACACCUGAUUUUAAAACAAAACCAAGUGUUACCUAUAUGUAUGCCAGGAUCUAGUUUCAUAUAUAUAGUGACAUCAUCAGUGAAUAAUAGUAACAAUAUCACGUAAAAAAAUAUAAAUAAUGACUUACGAGUCUAUCAGAGAUAUACAACUUAAUCAUGGAAAUCAAGGCUUCAAACUUCACAAGCAAUCGACUGGGGGUUGCAUACGUCUAGAACUCAGCAUCAUCUUGAGAAAACUUCACCCACCUUCUUCUUCUAAGCAGCAGUAAGUAAGGGUAGGUACACUUAUGGUUGGUACUCAGCAAGACCACAAGAAAUAACCAGAAUAAUGAUUUAAGUCCAUCUUCAAAUUUAUUAAUCAUGUGAGGGUUCAGGCCGCUCUUAACCAUGAGCACGGUUGAUAUAUCAGUUUUAUACUAUGAAGAGGUUGUACAUCUUUAGCCACAAGUCAUGUAAAAGUUCAGAAGAACUUUAGACCCAACCAUAUUGUGCCAAUCAGGCACUCAUCACACUACCGAGGUGUGACUACAUAGGGACACUACGAGACCUUUACAAAGAUUCCCUAAUAAGUGGUAACCCGCUAAGGUUUCAUGUCGAAGUAGAGCAUAAACCUCUCUCAAGAUUGCAAAGCUAACAUAGAGCAGAUCAGACUGAGGGCCGGGUUAUACCUCAUCAACGCCUCCCCUCUUGCCCUUUCGGUAAGAUUACCUCAAACUGGAGUCUCUAAUUAAUUAGCCAAGACCAAAGCCAUAUAGUCCUUGUAGUUGCAUUGUUUUCCUGGGUGGUUCUUCAUGUUCCAAUUAAUGCAUGGUAUUCUUGUAAAAUAAGAAUAGAUAGAAGGAUGGUUAAGGACACCUACCUUUAUCCAACGAAAAGUUACUCUUACUGCUCUUUAGCUCUUGCUCUCUUGAAACUCUUAAUCUCCAAAUCUUUCGAACAACUAUCUUUCUAUUUUAAGCAAUCACCGGCACAAACAUAUAAGCAAACAAACAAGUACAAUUAAGAACAAUACACCAAAGAAAAAAAAAGGUUUAAAAGAGUAUAAAGGAUAUGGCUCAAUUCUAAGAUCGCGAGGAUGUAAGAAACGCUCAAAACCGAACUAAGGUUGAAAAGACAAAGCUAUUGAGAGAUUUGAACUAUAAAAGAAAAAGAAAAGCCUACGUGCUUCAUAUAUUUUAAUAAAGAAAACAAUGUAAAGAUAUUUUAAAGAAACAUCCUUAUCAAGUUAUAUUUAUAUAUGAAAAGGUCAAUGUAGAACUUAGUCAAAUUUUUAUUUAUAAACAUUAAAGUACAAUUUAGGCAAAUUAAACAUUUAAUUUGAAAAUAAAGUAUAGGUAAACAUCUGAGCGCAUAACUUUAUGACUCAGGUUGAACUAACCAAAUAUAAUUAAAAAAACACAUUUAUAUUUAUAUUAGUCAAAUUAAAAUUUAAUAAAUAAAACUUGAGAUAUAACCUAUGUAGCUUUUAUUUAUAAAACAAAAUCAAGACACAUUAAUCAAGUUGAUUUUAAUUGAUGAAAAGUUGAGGUAUAUCUCUAAUUAGCUUUUAGUUGGAAGAGUUGUUUAAAUAAGCAUUAACCAAAUUUACAUUAGUUAUCAAAAUACGAGGUUGAACUUUAAUUAGAUUUUAAUUAGAAAAGCAAGUAUAUAAAUACUUAAUCAUAUUAAUAUAUUAAAUAAAUUAUAAAAUAGGGAACAUGAUUAACAUUGCUUCUAACACAUUGUGUUAGGUUGAUAUGAAUCUAACGCAACUAGAACGAGGUUAAACGGAGGUAAAACGUGGAAUCUAUGGAUUAAACAAGGUUCUAAGGAUCUAAAUAGAAUUAACUAUAGAUCUCAGGGGCUAGCAGAGAAGAUUCACAAGACAUGGAAUUGUGCUUGAAAAAGGCUGAAAGAUCAAGGUUAGAUUCCUAAAUGGAGCUUGGGUUGGACUAGGUCGCAGGAACCUUAUCUAACCAGGGGGUUCUAUGUAAGAGCCGCAAGACUCAAGGAACAAGCUAAACCAUUAAGUGGAUCUUCAGGGGUCUAGAUGCAAAAAGCUCAGAGCUUUCUUCCUCAUGGCCGACGGUAGCUUGUGCAGCCAAAUCACUGGCGCUACGGUCGGCUGGGGUCUCCGGCGGAUGACACAGGAGGUGGAGGAGGUCUAGGGGAUCUAGUGGAGGCUCUUAUCGGUGGCGAAGGUGAAGGGGGGCGGCCGAAAUUCGGAGGCGACAAUGACUGCAGUGGUGGCUCGGGCUCCGCGCGGUGGCAACACUCCGGUGAUGGAGGGGCGUCGAGGGCCGACGUCAGUUCUUCGUCUUGGCGCAGGGACGCUCCAGGUGGCAUCAGCAUGCUCCAGUUCGGACGUCAACCGCGACGAAACGGGCGGCCAACUCCUAGGGCACUUCGGCUCUGGCGAUCGACGGCGCGCGGCGCUGCGCGAGCAGGCGAGGUGAGGCACAGGGUGAGGGAGGAAGAAGGGAUGACGCAGAGCCUCAAGCUUGCUAUUUAUAGGGGCGUGGGAGGUGUGCCUUGGAGUGGCGCGCACGAUGAGGAAACGACGGCAGUGGCGCAGUCCGCUUGGUGGCUGGGCUUAGAAGGGCCAAGCUGGGCCAACUAGCGGCGGACGGGUCAGAGCGGGCUGACGCGAGUCAAGCCCAUAGCCUCGGCCCAAACUGAUAGGAUAGGUUUUUUUUUUAUUUUUAGAAAAUAAUUUCCCGUGGAAGGAAAAUCUAGAUAAAUCAAGAUAAUUCAAUAAAAGCUACAAAAAAUACACUAAAAAUUCCCAAAAAUUUCAGGAAAAAUCCUAGUGGUAGAUUGGGACACGAGGAAUCCAAAUAAAAUACUUGGAGCCCAUGAAAAAGGAAUUAGAGCCUUCUACUAAAUAGAUUUAUUUUUAGGAAAAUGAGAAUAAAUACUAGAAAGAUCUGGAAAAUUCUCAGGCGAAUUUGGUCAUCGUCUAAAUGCAUUUUUGAAACUUUUUCACUCAUGAAAUACUAUAAUGCAUCGGCAGGAAUGCAAAACACGUAGAAACAUUUUAUUUCUUUCAAAAUCAAUCAAUUUUUUUCCUAUACUACAUUUCUUGCCAAAAAAAUAAAUGUUGAAUUUUUUUAAAAUUAUGAGAAAAUCAUUGUUUAAUUAUUAUUUUUAUUUAAUCACAUCCUAAAAUCUAAAAAUUUCAGGGUGUGAAUAAUCCACCCCUAUAAAUCCAUUUUUAGAGGUGGAUGAAUUGCUACAGUAACACCUAUUUUUUGGUGGGGGGGGGGGGACUUCUCAUCCAGCCAAAAAAAUCAAGUGACACCUAAAAAUCAUUUUUUAGUCGUGAUCGUACGCGCGCUUCACUGCCAUGAACGCCGCCAUGCAUACCGCUCAACCAGCCGCCGGCGCCAUAGAUGGUGGCAUUCCGGUUCUUUCCUCAGUGUGGCAGGCCGCCGUACUUGCCCAUUGCCAUCUGCAUCUUGAUCUCAUCCACGACGUCCAAGUUUUGCACUGCACUAUGGACAAAAUAGUGCCCAUUAUCGUGCAGGGUUUUCCAUGUGAAUUGGCCCAAGGUACAUUCAACUUAUUUUGGCUGGCUUGGUCCCAUAGUUUGAACCCAGAUUUUGGAUCUUUCCGCAUUUAAAUUGGUGCUGCUGCUGCAUUUAUUUGAUAAUGGUGCAAGAUAUGGAACCAUACAACAAAGGUAACUCAUCAUUAAUUUAGAAGGGUGCACAGAUUCAUGUAAUAAAUAAUCUACACCACCUAAGAUGUGUCUCUACCUCUAUAUAAACAAGAGCAAUCAAAGCAAUAUGUGCAUACUGGAACAAAAUAUCUACAGGCAUACCAAUAGUGUUCCUUUUCAUAUGGCAGUGAUCAAGAGCAACGCAGUGAGGUCUAUGUGUGCUGCACUUUGCAUUCUUUUGAUAAUGUCUUCAGCCCUCUCGGAGCUGGUGGAAGUUGUGUAUCUAACUGCUUUUCUACUUCCCAUGGUUUCAUUAUAUUCGUGGGGUUUACUAGGUGCGAUGUGGAUUUCAUGCACAUGAUCACGCUGAGUGUGACCCUAUGGACUGAUGCACUGAUCCGAAAUGCUAGGAUGAAUGUCAGAACAAAAAUACUGACCUACCUAUUGAACCUGAGUGCACCACACCUAAGGAGUGUUGCUGCACAUUUUAUUGGGAGGAAGAUAAUUCACUUCUUUGAAUAGAUUAAAAUGGUUGCCGAUGGCUAGAUUCAUUUCAUGGAUGCAGCCGAUACCAGAAUACUACGCUUGCAUGUAAUGCAUCCAUAAUAUGUUUCUACCCAAAUCUAAUAAAAUAAAUGUGUCCCAUUUGUCCUCUUUUCCUCUAGUGUUUUUUUUACUCCCAAAUUCCAUGCUAAUAAAUGCUGUAUACAUGAUUUUAUUUUAAAAACAUUUCUGAAUACAUUUAAUUUGAUAAGUUCAAACACCGAGUGAGUCUUCUAUCUAUUGUAGGCUUAUGUUUAGUGAAGUGUGCCGGGCCUACUACUUCGGUGUUGGGCUGAGCCCACAUGAGAGCAGCUCCAGCGUUGCUCUUUUGAGGGUGCUCCAAGGAGAGAGAAAAAUAUUCUCCGGCAGCUUCACGCUGGAUCAGAGGGUGCUAGGGAGGUGCUAGGGAGCAGCUGAUGAUGAGUUUUGCACCAGGCGCUACGCAUUCAAUAUAUUUUCUGAAGUAACGUGGUUGGAUGGAUAGGUGAGAUAGUGGGAAGAAAAGCUAGAUCAAUGAUUCUUUAUUCAGCUGGAUCAAUGAUUUCUGAGAUGAGGUACUAAGCAGAUUGAACCGCCACAAGUGCCCUUCUCUUCUUAUCAGCCCGGUGUGCCUUGGUAUUGUCUUCCUGAAUAAUGGCCUUAUUAACCAGAUUACUAGAGCUGUCGUAGUAACAACCAAACGAACUGCAGCUUAGUACCGAGGCCCCUUCUCAAGCAAGCCUACUUUUUAGCAUGACAACUGGCGUACCGAGCAAGUUGAUUAACACUAUUAGCAUAUUGGAACACAGUUUGAUUUCUUUGCUUAAGUGACAUGACCUCUGACGGUUUUCUUUAGGCUGUGGAAAACGGCUCGUACCAACUCUGCCCGUUGAGAUGACCACACCCUGUUUCCAUUACCCCGUUAGGAAUGGAAACACAAACCAUUAUCUUGUACCCUAUCUUAACUCUGAAGUCUUCUUGGAAUAAUUUUCCGAUAAGGGAAGUUUUAUUGAUUUAAUAAAUGUUACAUCACGGUGAUAUAAUAAACUUGAAAUCCUCCCAGCAUGUGCAAGCACAGAGCCUUACAGGCAGAAACAAAUGCAGAUGCGCUAAUGACCAUCAAUCCGAGGACUCCGCCACCCAUGCACUUAGGUAAAAAAAUUCCUCGACCACUUUCACCAAGCACUGAGAUGAGAUGCCGCUGCAACGGAAACAUAUGCCGUAGACUUUUGGAGCAUAGCCCAUGUACGAAGCUAGUGGAUAACUCUAAAGAUAACCUGCAUUGGAUGAGAUAAGGGUUUGUUUUCAAAUACCAUAGCAUUCUUGCAGAGCAACAAUAACAACUUAGUAGCAAUCACCCCAAGUAAAUAAUGCCCGUCAACCAAGUGCCGAAAAUAUUUUCUAGGCUAAGGGGCUUGAGAAAGACUUCAGUUGCAAACAUAUCCGUAUUAUCCUCACUGAAUGGUCAUAAGUGUUUCCCUUCCGUUGCCGACACAAGACCAUCCGACGGCGAAGGGUGACUAACGCCACUAGCUGGUAAACUAAGUAUGCUGGAAUUUGUCCACUAAGGUUAGAGUCUAGCUAACUCAGCAUAGGUGCCCAUAUUUCUUAAUUAUGUUUCCGUUGGUUGAUAACAUACCCAUCGGCAUCCUAUCGUCAUGACUUAAUGAAUCCCAAUAUCUUCUAGACUAACGUUUACUUACAUGAGUAGGGUGUGUAUGCAUGUGUGGUUAACAGGUAUUUACUUUAAGGUCGGCUGGGCCGGCUUUCUCGAUGUGUCUAAUUAUGCUUAAGAAAAAGAACCACUAGUGGAAAACUGAGUUUUAGUCCCAUAUGCAGACACGCAUAGAUCUCAAAAAUCCAACCGGAACUAAUCAUUCGGACUGUAAUAAUAAAAUUUGUUUGAAAUUAAAUACAUUGCAUUUAAAUUUUCAUGGGCAUUUAAACCUUUUUCAAAAUAAAUUAAUGAAUCAUAGGAGUUCGUUGUUGCAUUCACGAUGGUGCAUUAUUUUUGGUUGCUUGAAUUCAAAUUUGUGUUUGAAUUCAUCUGUUUGACUCUUUUAAACAAAUAGGAAACCCCUUUUCUUUUCCCUCCCUUUUCUUUUCUUCCUUUCAGCCUGUUUCUUUCUUUGGGCCCACUUCCUUCUCUUUCGCCCAGCAGCAAAACUGAAUAUGCACUUUGAAGAUAAACAUGCGAACCAUCAAAGGGCAGCAGACAACUUACAUACACGAAGGAGCGUUGUAAAUGGCAGAGUAGCCUUGCUGCCAUGAUCCACUGAGAUCCAGCCCCACGUCGCACGAAUUCCUCCCUCCCCCCUCCACCCCCGACAACGGCUUCAGGCUCGGACCCGCUAUGACGACCAAGGACAAAUGCGCUCAAGGCUUGGGAAGAAAUUAACUUCCAUUGUCGGAACACUUGUUAAGGAUUACAAGAGACCAUAUCGCAAGUUUAUCUUCUUAGGUAUGGUCCACAAUGGAAGAGAGAUCUCCUAACUUGACCAAGCGGAUGUACACACUAUCAUUUGGCACGAAUCAGGCCAAGUCAGAUAGGUGCUAGUGGAGUUCCAUAUUCCACUACGUCCGGCAUGUAACUCAUAAUCGACCACUGGGGAGGGACAUGUGUGGGAUGGAUCGAAGACAAGACAAUGGCCAACACACGCGUGGACAUACCGGCCACAGGGUACCAUUACGUGUUUGUUGGACCCAACACAUGAAAAUAGCUGCGUUGGCCAUGAAAAUGUUUCCUAUACGUCAUGGGAGCGCGUAAACGGCCACACUGGCCACCGGAGACGAAAACAUGGGCGAUGGACCGAAGAAGGGAAGAUGGCCUCCGGACAUGUGUUCGGCCAUGAAAACGUUUCCUAUAGGUCACAGGAGCGCGAAAACGGCCUCACCGGCCACCGGGGACGAAAACGUGGGAGAUGGACCGAAUACAUGAAAAUGCCUAACGAAUGUGUGUUCAGCCAUGAAAACGUGUGUUCUAGGUCACGGGAGCCUGAAAACGGCCUCACCAGCUAUCAAGGACGAAAACGUGGGGGAUGGACUGAUUGCAUGAAAAUGCCUAACGAACACGUGUUCGUCCAUGAAAACAUGUGUUAUAGGUCACGGGAGCCUGAAAAUGGCCUCACCGGCUAUCGGGGACAAAAACAUGGGGGAUGGACCGAAUACAUGAAAAUGCCUAACGAACGUGUGUUCGGUCAUGAAAAGGUGUGUUAUAGGUCACGGGAGCUUGAAAAAUAGCCUCACCGGCCUCCGGGUAUGAAAACGUGGGUGAUGGACCGAAUAUGUGAAAAUGCCUAACAAAAGCAUGUUCGGCCAUGAAAAUGCCCAACGAACAUGAGUUUGGCCAUGAACGGGUGAAAACGGCUCAAGAACGGGUGACAACGGACUCCAAAGGGGCUGGGAUGGAGUUUCCGUGUUGGCACCGAGCCCCCUACGUGCCCCCCUGUCAUCUCGGCCUAUCACACAGAUUUCAGGUGACCCCUAGAACUGUGCACCCUGUGGGACAAAAUUCCCCGGAACUUCUGGGUGGGGGGGAUGCCGCACAGGUAUAGUAGGGGGAGCUGGUGCGUCCUCUGGGUGCUUGAGAAAACGAUGUUCAGCCGUAUGAAUAACGUUGGUUUUGACAUGUUUUCGAGGUAUUCGGGGCGUACUCCCCCGGCCGCAGUGCGGCCGGACCGUGGCCGCACCGCAGCUCAUGUGGGAAGGCUUGGGGGCUGGCUACGGCUGGUCACAGUAGGCUGCGGCCGACUGUUGCUGGGCUGCGGGCGCCUGGAAUGUGCUUGCGCUUGCCGUUGGCUGGCCGUGGCCGCCCCAGGCGUGCUGCGGCCGGUCGUUAGCUUACCUUUUGCUGCUCGGGGCAUUCAGUUGCUGGCCGUUGGCAGGCUAAUGCCGUCCCAGGCGGGCUGCGGCCGGCCAUGAUGGAAGGGAUGAGGUUGUGUUUGUUAUAUGCACCGAAAUUGUUCAUUCUCAUGCUCUAUGGACCUUCGACCGUCGUCCUCACAAGUAGACUUGCCAUGCCUAGCGUGGUAGGAUGCUUAGGAUGGCUUGACCGUCGCGCUACGCUAAUAUUGGACCUGUGACUGCUUGGAGGCCCUCCGCCCUAGUGUGGCCGACUCUUGGUGCCAGUUCCCUUCAGUUGUGUGGGCAUCAUGCUCGCGCCUCUGGCGAGUGCUUGCAUGCUGCUACCCGUUCUACGGGAAGUUGCAUUCGCUACGGGUUGCCUUCGUUGUGCCCACCCCCUGGGUGUGGCACUUUGGUUAUAGAGCACUUGCGGCGUCACCUCGUGGUACCUGCUACACCGGUCGGCACCACCAAGGUCAUCUCGCUUGUGCUCUUUGUCUCGGAUGGAGCUAUCGAUAUAGGGCGAGGCUGCUUCGGCACCUUGUUCCUUGCAAAUUCGGUACCUUCGGAAAAACGACUACCAACCCAGCCAACACCUCGUGCCGAAGCUAGCGACAGCUUGUCGAGGAGGACGUGCUAACCUGGUUGAUCCUGCCAGUAGUCAUAUGCUUGUCUCAAAGAUUAAGCCAUGCAUGUGCAAGUAUGAACUAACUCGAACUGUGAAACUGUCGUUUAAUGAUGUUUAAAAGUUGCAAGGGCCCCUCUGUAAAAACGUGUUCAAUCUUUUCUGAUUUAAAAUGGAUUAAAUGGCUGAAACUUUGUAAACGUGUAGAAAAUUGUAGAAAAAUGGUAAAAAUGUGAAAGAUGUCAUGCCCCUGCAAAAAGAACAAGUAGCUCAAUGGUUUGUGCGAUAAAUCCUAUCCUUGAGGUGCUCGUUUACCAAUUUGCACCGAAACAUUAUCUUAGCUCCCACAUGAUAUUAUCUAAAGGCAAAGAAGGUGACAUUGAACAUGAUACACCACGAGAUUUUACUGGAGAAUACAUUGAGAGGUACAGGAUAGGGUUUGUGUGGAAUGUGAUCGGUGCUUAUAAAUAUGACAUAGCAUCAGUACAUCACAACUGGUUGUAGACUGCAACCGACAAUUUUCUUAGACCCUUUGCAUUUUGUAAUAGUUAUAUUCCCUUUACUCAAGUUCUCAUUACAACCAGGUUUCAUAGUACCUAGUGGCAUCAAAACCAUUUAGCGCCACUAACUGGUUGUGAUGAUUGAUGUCACAAACGGUUCUUUGUGCGUAGCCAGUUUAUAGCUGUAAUUCAAUUGAACCUGUUCUAGUACCUUGAACAACUAGUUCUUGAUGAGUAGCCAGGAGUGACGUUCCAUUUGUAACUAUUUAUUCUCUAUUAGUCUAAUGUUGUGAUAAAUGAUUUGCGUUGUCAGUUUAUGCACUUUGGCAGCCUGGAUGUAUGUCUUUUGAAGUAUGUGUAACUUUCUCUAGAAUUGAGGAACUUUAAUUGACUAAGUGGUCUUGGAUUUACAGCAUCAACCACUAUAAUUAGCCAUUGCUCCAAUGGCCCAUUUUUUCCGUUAAUGCUAUAUGAUCCGACACCAAUAUGUGUACAAACAUAAGAGCAUCUGACGAGUAUCAUUUUACGGUGAAGACAUUGGAUCCCCACUCGCAGUAACACAUUUCAAAUGUGGAAAGCAGGACCGGGUCUCCCCCCUGCAAUAAAUGCCAUUUUAACUGGUCCUAUAAACUGUUUUCUAGUGGUGUGAUGUAGUCUGUUGGAAUCAGCACCGUGGAACCAUCUGACAUUCAUACAUUAGCUUCACCAAGCAAAUAUUCUUCUGUGCAUUAAAGCUUCAUACUUCAACAUGUACAAGUUCUCUAUGUAGGAUAUUUCAGCUAGAAGAUCUUCCCUUUCUUGAACUAGCCAUUUGAGCAUUAUUCAUUCUCAGGCCCAUUGUUCCAACGGCUUGCACGUUCUUGGAAUGUGUUAUCAUGGAAUGCUAGGGGUAUCGAUUCGUAGACAAGAUGGAAUGUCGUCAAGAGCAAAAUAUCUGAAUCCAACUGUGAUAUUGCCUGUUUACAAGACACCAAAAGGGAGUUUUUUGAUGCUAGAUAUAUUAGGAAUUUCUAUCCCCCACAGUUAGAUUCUUUCGAUUUCAUCCCAUCUAUUGGCAACUCAGGGAGAACUAUUAUAGUGUGGAAUGGUUCCAAAUUCAAGGGGGAACGUAUCUUUCAAAAUCUUUAUGCCCACUUUGUAGAUUUUCAGUGCAAGCUAUCAGGGGAACGUUGGAUCCUCACGAAUAUCUACGCCCCAUGUACUCCGGAGGGGAAGCUAUCCUUUAUUGACUGGUUCAAAAGGGUUGAAAUACCAGAGGAAAAAAAUUGGCUAAUAGUUGGGGACUUCAACCUUCUUAGGAAGCCGGAUGACAGAAACAAUCCAGGGGAAACAAUCCGGGAGGAAAUGUUCAGGAAAUGCUUCUCUUCAAUGAAGCUAUUAGCAGGCUUAGGCUCACAGAAAUUCAGCUCAAAGGAUGCAAGUACACUUGGUCCAACAAACAACAGAAUCCUCUUCUGGAGAGGCACGAUUGGUUCUUCAUAUCUAACCCUUGGACCAUCUCCUAUCCCAAUACUUAUGCCUCAUCGCUGUCCAGUGACUCCUCAUAUCAUGUUCCUUGUGUAGUCUCGAUCUCUAAUACCAUUCCAAGGCCACAAGUUUUUAGAUUUGAGAAUUAUUGGCUAGAACAUGAUCGGUUCCCAACCAUUCUCCAACAAGGUUGGGCAACUCCACUUCUAGGCACAGAUAGGGCAAAGAACAUUGGGGCCAAGUUCAAAAACCUGAGGAAGGUUUUCAGGAUCUAGAAAGCAUAGCUCCCCAGUCUGGCGAAAGCAAUCCAGAGCACCAAAGACACCAUUAAACUCCUUGACAUCAUCGAAGAACUUAGAGAUCUUACCCUGCAAGAAUGGAACUUUAGAGAAGUCAUCACAUCACAUCUGAAUAGCUUGCUCCACCAACAAAAAGUCUAUUGGCAGCAAAGAAGCUCCAUCAAUUGGGCCAAAAUGGGGGAUGAAUGUACAAAAUUCUGCCAUGCAAGGGCCUCAGUCAGAAAUAGAAUCAAUUAUAUCACUUCUUUAGUUGAUGCCAAUGGACAAAUUGUCUCUAAACAUGAAGCUAAAGCCAGGAUUCUUUGGGAAGCUUAUAAGGAAAGGAUGGGGAGAUUUGAAUUUACUCACAUGUACUUUGAUCUUUCUACUAUCUUGACAUCAGAUCCAAAUUUGGAAUGGCUAGAAUCUCCCUUUAUGAAAGCAGAGAUCGACACAAUUACAGGGGAACUUCCAAGUAACAAGUCCCAAGGCCUAGAUGGCUUGAAUGGAGAGUUUCUCAAGAGAUGUUGGGACUUGAUAGCUGAAGAUUUUUAUAGACUGUCUGAAGGUUUUCAUGACAUUAGUGUGUGUGUUCAGAGCAUGAAUGCUUCAUACAUCACACUAAUCCCCAAGAAAGAUUGUCCCUCUCAAGUGGGAGACUUCAGGCCAAUCUCCCUCCUAAACUCAACCAUCAAGCUAAUAACUAAAAUUCUAGCAGAAAGGCUACAACAGGUUAUGUUAAGACUAGUGCAUAAAAAACAGUAUGGUUUCAUAAAGUUUAGAUCCAUACAAGACUGUUUAGCAUGGGCUUUUGAAUAUCUUCACAUCUGUAAAGCCUCAAAGAGAGAAUUAAUCAUCAGCAAGCUAGACUUUGAAAAAGCCUUUGAUAGGAUUGAGCACCAAGCCAUUUUGGAUAUCUUAAAACAUAAGGGCUUUGGGGACAAAUGGAUUGGGUGGAUAAAGGACAUUCUCAACACUAGAACAUCUUCAGUACUCCUCAAUGGUGUACCAGGGAAAGUCUUUCAUUGCAGAAGAGGUGUCAGACAGGGGGAUCCUCUAUCCCCACUUCUAUUUGUGCUAGCAGCGGACCUUUUUCAGUCAAUCCUAAAUAAAGCCAAAGAGGAAGGAAGCUUACACCUACCGAUCCCUGAAAGAGCUGGACCUGACUUCCCAGUUAUACAAUAUGCAGAUGACACCCUUCUGGUCAUGGAAGCAGAUCCUUGCCUGUUGUUGCAUCUCAAGCAUCUGCUUAAUCAGUUUGCGGAGUCAACUGGUCUUAAAGUAAACUACAACAAGACUGUUAUGGUACCUCUGAACACUUCUGAGGAUAAACUCCGACAACUUUCGUCAAUGUUCGAUUGCCAUGUCGGAAGCUUGCCACUCACCUACUUGGGGCUACCACUUGGUGCAACAAAGCCUAACAUUGAGGAAUUCCUUCCAUUAAUACAGAAGGUGGAGCGAAGAUUGGGAGGCAUCUCUAACAUGUUAUCUCAAGGGGGCAAACUCGAACAGGUAAAUUCAGUCUUUUCUUCCUCACCAAUGUUUCAUAUGGCAACCUUAAAGCUUCUCAAGGGGGUUAUCACACAAUUAGAUAAAUAUAGGAAACACUAUCUCCGCAGAGGAUCUAAUUUGAAUUCUAGGAAACCCUCCAAGGCAGCUUGGCCUAUGGUGUGCCUACCAAAACAGCAAGGAGGACUUGGGGUUAUUAACCUGAACAGUCAAAAUGAUGCCCUUCUUCUCAUGUUCCUACACAAGUUCUUCACUAGAGCUGAUACUCCCUGGGUUCAUUUAUUCUAGGAUAACUAUUAUUCUAAUGGGAAACUGCCUGGACAGCACAAAAAGGGCUCAUUCUGGUGGAGAGAUUUAGUCAAGCUACUGGACAAAUACGAAGGAAUAGUGUCGGCAUGGGUAUCGGAUGGCUCUACUGUAUUGUUCUGCAUGGACACAUGGAUUGAGCAGGUCCUCUACCUGGAAUUCCCCCAGUUAUUCUCUUAUGCCAAAAACAAACUGGUAUCAUAUAAGGAGGCUACAAGCAGAAUAUCACUGUCUCAAAAUUUUCACCUGCCACUUUCAGAAGAAGCUCAUCAGCAGUUGCUGAUUCUGCAGAAUAGAUUGAGGAAUACUGUGAGAGCUCAAGGCAGAGAUAAGUGGACUUACAUUUGGGGAAGGCCCCCGCUUUUCGGUAGCAAAAACUUAUAAAGUCAUAACGGGCACAAGAACCAUACAUCCAAUUCAUAGAUGGAUAUGGAAAUCUAAAUGCCAAAAGAAGCACAAGAUAUUUUUCUAGCUAUUAAUUAAAUUCAGACUGAGCACCAAAGACAUUCUAAGCAGAAAAACAAUGUAUUUGGAUACUUAUACUUGUGUGCUUUGCAUCCUCCAGGAAAAGGAGACAAUGCCGCACUUAUUCCUGAGAUGCAACUUCUCGAAAGCUUGUUGGAGCACUUCCUCCAGGCCACCCUUUCGGAUUUUUAACUCAAUCAAGGAUAAACUGAACGUUCCCUUCUACAUGGAGAUCAUCAUUUUAAUGGCCCGGAGCAUUUGGUCCGUGAGGAAUGACUGGACCUUUCAACAAUGUCCCCCCUCGGUACAGAGCUGCAAAAGGAAAUUCAUGGAAAAAAUGAAUACCGUCUGUCUACAUAGAGCGAAAUCUUCCCUAGCUCUUGCCAUGAUGGAAUGGUUGUAAUCUUUUCUUUCUUUUUUCUUCCUUUGUUGUUGCCUUUUCUACCUUCUACUUCUGUUGUUUCUUGGACUCGCCUUUCAUUUAAUAUAUUUCAGUAGGAGCUUGCCCCUCCUGUUCCUUCAAAAAAAAACUUCGAGCACUUCUCCAUGGGCUUCAUCACCAUAGUUUCGAUUUGGGCAAUUUUAUUGCACCGAACCUUCCAGCUUGCAUUUUCUUAACUGAAUCUCGAGCAUGGGGCAAUAUUCUGGCAUCUACAACGGACCUGCCAUCAAGCAUUCCAAUGUAUAGAUCUAUCCUGUUUGUUUGCCUAAUAUUCGGAUGCAAUACUCCGCCGUGUGUAAAAAAAUCCAAGGCCAACGGACCAUACCGUGUUAACAAUUUUAGUGCCUAAUCCAAUACAAAAUUAGUCCCAGUUUGUACGGCUACUCAUUCAUUGCAGUCUUCAGACGAACUCUACGGUGACACAUUUUUGGAAUACUCUGGCAUGUGCAACUGACCUGCCAUCAAGCACUCCGAUGCAUGGUUCUAUCCUCUUUGGUUGCCUUAUAUUCUGUAAAAAAAAAUAUUCAAGGCCAACAGACCAUACCGUGUUAAAAAUUUUAGUGCCCAAUCCAAUACAAAAUCAGUUCCAGCACCUCCACAGUGAUUAUAUUGUAAUUCAAUCACCAAAAUCCGAAACUAUGGUCUAGUGAAGCUAUACUGUGUACGAAAUAUCAAUUCAUGGGAUUUGUCAACGAUUUUAUGAAGCUGUAUAUAUGAUACCUUCCACUACGGGAUUUGUGUACAAAAUAUUAAUUCAUGAGAUUUGUCCAUGAUUUUAGGAAGCUACAAUAUCUUCAACUACCGGAUUGCGUAUAUAAGAUAAUCUUCACCAGUUAUCACAGGUGGAAGCACGCGUUAAAUAAUAAAUGACUAAUGCUGAUUCAACUCUGAGAUGAAAAGGAUUCUGUUCUCAAGAAUCGAAAAAAAGGUAACGUGCUCAUAACAAUGUCGACUCUUCACAUCUGAGAACUACCUACCGUAUGUUAUUAAAACAUUUUUGCUGCCUAUAAAUUGGGCAUCAUUUCAGCAGGCCACCACGGCACCUGAGCUUGCCAUCUUUUCCUGCUCUAUCUCACUCAUUUGUCCCGUAGCUACUAGCUAAGCCACCAUAUCAUCCAUGGCUUCUGGUGCCUCCACCACGCUGAAGAUGGCCUCUAUCGCCGCUUGCAUCCUGCUGGUCCUGCUGUCCAAUGGCCACCCUACCGCGGCGGCCGUUGAUUGUAUUGCGGCUUGCAAAGAACCGUGCCAGGGUUUUUCUAACGGGCUCUGCGCGGGUGGAGCCACCAGCGGUUGUACGACUACGGCAGCAGCUACAGCAUGCCGCAAUUUGGCGUUCUCGCAGUGUGCGAACACCUGCUUCACAGUUUGCACUGCUGUGAGCAUCGCGCCUUGCACUUGAAGAUGCAUUCGUGUUCCUACUUCCACAUUAUUGUUACUGCAGAAUAAUAUGGGUCAGUGCACACAAGCAUACAUGAUGAGCCACUGUCGUUUUUCCAUUUUGUCAUUUAUUUAUUGAAGGCAAUGUACGUUUUUCCAUUUGAUCAUUUACUUAUUGAAGGCAAUGUACGUGUCUAUCUCCUGUGUGGUUGAGCAUGUCAUCUUGGAAUUCUGUCCAAAGUUUUACAUACCACCUUGUAUUGUUGUGUGUGGGUAUCAAUAUAAUUUAUGAACUAUCUUCCUUUACCAUAGACAUAUCUAUGUUUAUUUGCAAGCGUUAGCUAAAUUUUUCCUUGAUUGUGUAUUAACCCAUACUGAACAGAUCAACUUUCCACUGCAAGAAACUAUUUAAUCUGUGACGAAACAAAAUUGUCACGUAUCACUAAAAAAUCGUCAUAAAGCAAUGCCUGUGAUGAUUUCAGAUAACGUCAUGUAUUGAGCAUCACAGAUUAAAUCGAUGACAUGGAGAGGCUUCACCAUAGUAUUUUGUAUCGACGUUAGACCUAUCGUUUAUUUCCGCUGCUUUUGAACUCUGAACACUACUUUUAUGCAUGUGAACUAUCGGCUUGUAAUAACUUAAUGUGGGACCUGUAAUAAUUUAUCUGGAUUGUUGUAAUCUUUGGACUCGUCUUCGUGCGAGUAUACUUUGUUUCGAUCCGAAACACGUGGUUGCAUCGGGUGAAACCCGACAGACUACCAGUUUAAUUCGAUUAAAGUGUCUAUUCACAUUUAAGGCAAUGUUGAAUAUACUUUAGCCGGGUUAACUUGGAUGGUUCUACCACACUGGCGCAUCCCUGAGGAUUCCUAUCUGCUUGCUCGAUGUCAUCUGUAUCUGGCCCUGUGAUAAGGGUGAAGAGUUCAUUGUCUAGAGACAGGCUUCCAGAACUUUGGGUGAUGACUUAUGUAGAGUCAUGAAGCGUGAUUCGUUGUCCUGGGCGAGGGCAGGUAGCCUCAUGCCAGGCCAGUAGAUGAAUCUGCCUUGAGGGGUUGAGGUGAUCACCAGGCCCUGCUGCGAACCUGUUAGUGGAGUCUCCUCGUCGGAAUCCAAGUAGUGAUCGUAGUUGUGGUCCUUAAUCGGACAUGAGUUAGAUUGCAACCCGGAUAAGGCUGCUUGAUAGGUGGAAGCUGCGUUACGGAGUCCGAAUGGGAGUUUGCUCGGAAUUUGACUUGAUUCGGACGAUGCAGAACCCGAUGGGAUAACCUACUGGGGUAUUACGUCAAUAGAUCAACCAAAAGAAUGCGCAAUAAUAUCUACCACCAAAGGCAACCCAAAAGCAUUAUCUACCUUCAGUGCCAGAUCAGUCAUCAACAAAGAUCUAUGGAGACCUUGUUUUCUCUUGCUUUGGAUUUGGAGAUAGCAUAGAACAAAAGCCUUGAACCUAAAUAAACAAAGAAAAAAAGUACUGCAGUGCUAAAAAUAAGAAAUACCUCGUAGAAAAAUACCAGUAAUGGGUUUAUGGGUUCCCACUCAUCCUUGGGUAGCCACUUCUCUAGAGAGAUUCUUGUGUGUUCCGGUGUUGUAGUUUUCUGCGCAUGAUACAUAGCAACAUAAGGGCUAUUCCCCAACCUCAUAAUCGAUAGUAAUGUACAUCUUCUGGAAAGGACCUCUUUCUGUUGCAAGUGUGACUGCCACGCUCAUGCCAUUAAAGAAGUUAGCAGUUCGGUUAGGCAAUUAGUUGCCCACAGGAGGAAAGUAAAGCAACCGUGGAGAGUGAAGAGGCGUCUUUCUAGCUCCAGCACCAAGCACACCACACCAGUCAUCAGCUAAUCUGAUGACAUGGCAGGAAAUUUAAGAGGGGAGAGAAGGAAUUAGUUUCAUCUAGAUGAAAUUCUUCUCGCACAAAACCAACUCUGAAUGUGUCAUGAAAUUAAAUGUACCCCAUGCCGCUUUUUAUGCGCUCUUAUUAAUGUUGCUUUGUCUAAGUUCAAUACACUUAUCAAGACUAUCGCAUUUGGUGACUGGCAGUCCACCUAAGGGUACCAAGAUGGUUGAUUUGUAAACAGAGAGGAUCACAAGACCAUGAACUACUUGAUGGUAAUGCAAGGCACAAGACAUAGAGAUUUAUACAUGUUCGAGCCGUUAGUGUAGCGUAAUACCCUACGUCCUGUUUUGGGGGAUUGUAUUGCGCUCUGCACUUGGGUGUUGGUUGUUAAGUUGAGGGAUUGGCCGUCCUCCUAGGGGUACCCCUACGUACCCUUAUAUACUCCCCUAAUAACUCUUCUUAAUAGGAUAGAUUACCAAGUAGAAUUAAUUAUGCAUGCACGCUUGCAGUAAUUGUCGCACCUAUUAGCCUUCCUUAUUUAGCGAGACUUCCUCGGGCAUCGAUGGUGUGCCGUUUCUAUAGUGAACGGUAAUGAAUGUGGACACUUUUAUGAGUGCUGACAUGAAAGGUUCAAUUUGUAUGAAUGAUCUUCUAUAGGUACACUAACCGCGCUUAGGUUACGUUAACAAAAGGUUAGAGAAUUGACUAGUUAUUAUAGGAAGAGCCGUAAACUGUUGCCUCGCCACCAGCACUAACCCCGUAAGUCCAAGUAAUUGGCAGUUUUUUCAUUUGUGAGGACGCAUAGGUCAUGCAUGCAUCAUGUUAAAAACUUGCAAAUUGGAAAUUGGAACAACUUUCCUAUAGAUGAUUGGGAGGACUAAUGUCACUCUCAAAAAAAAUUUUGCCAAAUCACCUAAGGAUUUUCUAGUUGUCUCGAACUGCAGCUAACUACUGUCAGAAUUUUUUUUCUCCGAGCUCUUAAAUGGUCUUGGUUCCAGAAUUUAGUAAAUGAUAUGCUGUAAAAAUUUCAUAAAUUUUGGUCAAGUGAAACUCGAGUUAUGCUUCAAUAAAUUCCCGGGUUGACUCGUACCCAAAGGAGGAAGUUGCAGAGGUUAAGGCUGCAGGAGAAGAGGGAACAGAAGCUGGAGAAGCGAAGGAAUGAGGCAUUCAACACGAAUAGACCCAUAGUCCCUCAGAAGAAGGAGUGGAGAGUUAAGGCCGAUACUCCCAACUCCACCAGUCAGACCUGCAGAAGGACCGGUCGGACCUAGUGCGGUCGGCACGGUCAGGGCGGUCACUGGCGCAGUCGUCGUGGUUGAUGACUCGGUCGGCGCGGUCGUCGGCGCAGUCAGACCGGUCGAGGGGUCGGCGAGGAGCGGCAGCGGGGUGACAAAGUAACUGCGAGCGCGGCGGGGCGGAGCUUGAGCGGCGGAGGCGGAUGGGAGGGGUGGAGGUGGCGGUGGAUGUGGAGGGGAGGUAGCGGAGGGGGAGGAGGAGGAGGAGGCAGAGGAGGCCGGCGGUGGGCGGAGGAGGUGGAGGAGGGUGAGGAGGAGGAGGAGGCGGAGGGAGGUCAGGGCUGGCGGGGGAAUUUUCUUUUUUUAAGAACGUUUAGCCUUAUUAUCACCUAGCGGAGGCGGAUGGAGUUCCACAACAUGGUGUAUCGGACGGGCAUUUCAUUGAAGUCCCUAGGGGCGUCCAAUGGGUGGCUGUAGUGGGUGUACAUCACGACGAGCGUCUGUAGCCAUUGCGACAGCCUAGAGCACGACAACGAGGCGGAAGACCCCGUCACGGGUGCAGAUGGCCAGCGUUUUUUUAAAAAAAAACUUACAGGUGGCCAGUGUGGUGGGCGUGAUUGGGCUUAUCACCAGUGGCGGAGGAGGCGGACGCACGAAGCGACAGGAAUGGCGCCGAGUUUGGUCGAACCAUCUGGAAACUAGAGUUGUAACGCUUGCACUGGACGGCUGAGAUUUACGAUGCUCGAUAUCUGACAGGCGAAAAAGGGAGAGACUUGGCCCAAUCAUUGCAGAGAAACUUCACCGGAGUUAGGUCUUUAAAGAAGAUUGUAAGGCCUGAUUGGUUUGGGGAUCAAAAUGUAUCAAACCAAAAUCAGGGUAAGCCUAAUAAUUUUGGCAGCUGUGUAUAUUUAGAUGCAUAUAAACAUUUAUAAACCUAAAAAAUUAAAACGACCUGCAAUUAAAAAUGGAGGGGUAAAAAAGAAGGCCCCGACAAACGCGUCAGCACAUUCCUGCCUUUCUCCCCCGAAUGAGUAAACUCCAAUCCAAAAUUUGACUGUAUUUUGUUAACGGUUAUAUAUCAUAAGUUUCAUAACAAUAACCAGCUAGGGCUAAUGAUGAUAUGAAUUUGGCCACAAUUUUUGUUCUUGGGAGGUAUCUGUGAGGUGAGAAAAUGGGCAACAUGUGUGGAAAAUGCUAAUACGCCUACUGUGUGGCAUAUUUUGCGUUGUAUCAUAUACUUUCCGGAACAGUUGUAAUUACCACAUCUUUUUUCCCCAGCGGAGUCGCCAAAAUGUGUUGGCGCCUUUUCCGACCAACACAUGAGUGCGCUAGCUCGCGUGUAGAUUGGAAUUCUCCUCGUUGAAGCUCCUGCACCUGGCCGGUCAGAUCGGUCAGGGGGUCCGAUCGGGCCGGUCCUCGUAGGGGCACCAUGAAAACCUACGUCCACCACCUCGGGAGGGACCCUUUCGGAGAUGGCGAACCUAGGGUUGCUCUGAGAUCGGCAGGCCAAUUUAAACGUUCUCAAACGCCGCCGGGACAAAAGAUGAAAGCAAGUGGGUUGGAAAAGCUAAGGUUUUGAGAUAAAAGGGUAAAAAGAUAUGUUUGACGAUUAGGUGAUGCCCCUCAAUCCAACUUACCAAUAUUGAUACAAGAUAUGCUCAACUUGUGAACUUAACUGAGGUAUAUGCUUCCUAUGUUCGUCCGUUCCAGUAAUUGUCUAAGGCAACGCGAAAUCCAGUUACUGUGGGCUAAUAACAACCUAUCUGUUGGUGUUUCUUGGUGUCUAUGGGUGUGCUUCUGAUUUGCAUGCUUUUUUUGUUUGUUGUGUGAUGAAAUAAGGCACUAUGUACAUCUUUGCUUAUUAUUUCCCACUGAUAUAUGGGUACGGACGUGUAAUCAUUAAUUGUGCUAUUCAUUCAGCUGACGACAGUCAGUUGACAUCACUUGAAAGUAUGCUUGAAUUCGUAAGGUGUCCCGUGCAAGUAGCGUGGCUACAACCGCAGCAAUAUUUUUUUCUGAUCAAAAUCGAUCGUCCUUUUUUGUUGAAAACAUAAGUAUGAUAUACUUCACGUGAUGUUAGACUUGAAAAUUUUUGAGUGCAAUAUAUGAGUAAGUAUUCAAUACUAACAUUUUUUCUCUAAACAUUAACUACCAACAUAGCUUAUCAGAUAAUGCAGCAUUGUUUAUCCGACAUGCAUAACCUCCUAACACUCAGACACUGAGACACACCAUCCAUUACCGUCACUGAAUCUAUGUCAGCGUGCUGAGCCAGGGUUAGGAACCUCCACUAACUCGUUAGAGGCAAACCCAAGAUCUAGACUGCUUCUGCUUAAUUCCAUCACUAGCUUAAUCCACUAUGAAAUGUAAAUGCACAACACUCUUAGCAAUUCGCUCAUAAGAUUCUUGAAUUUGGCAAAUUUUUGGUGCAAUCUUCACUGCGAGAAAAACGACCUUUUGUCCAACAUAUUAGUACCGGCCACAUUUCAACCCGUACUAAUACCAACAUUAGUAUCGGAUCCAAUUUAGUAGCCACCGGAGACCUUUUAGUACCAGGUCAUAACACCACCCAAUACUAAAAUGUUGAAGAUAGGUUGCCAAUGGUGAGGUGGAGCGUGGGGUCGAUGACGGUAAUAGCGGCGGGGAACUUCAACCCCCAGCCGAAGGGGCCAUGGCAGGUGGCAGGGAGAGGUUGAGGCUGUAGAGGAGAGGGUGUUUGAGCUUUGGGGGUGGCGAUUUGGAUUUGUUGAAGGAUAGCGGUGGGAUUUGCUGCUCAUUGUGGUUCAGGUGGAGGAACAAAGUAGAAAGAAAGAGACGAAAAUGUGGCCAACACUUUCAAGGAAAAGCAUGAGGUGACAUGGAGGAAUGCAUGAGCGAGGGUGUGGAUAGGCAACCCUUGAAAUGGAUUUCCAAGGACGGAUCACGGGAUGAACCAUCCCUGGAAAUGGGGCUAUUUUUAGGAGCGGAGGGAAACAUGGCCUGCAUCUAUAAAUAAGUAUUUUUAGGGGUAGGUCUUGUUUCUGUUCGUUCUAGGAAAUGUACAUUUCUAGGGGUACCCCACCCCAUAAUUGUAACACCUGGUUUUAAAACAAAACCAAGUGUUACCUAUAUGUAUGCCAGGAUCUAGUUUCAUAUAUAUAGUGAUAUCAUCAGUGAAUAAUAGUAACAAUAUCACGUAAAAAAAUAUAAAUAAUGACUUACGAGUCUAUCAGAGAUAUACAACUUAAUCAUGGAAAUCAAGGCUCCAAACUUCACAAGCAAUCGACUGUGGGUUGCGUACAUCUAGAACUCAGCAUCAUCUUGAGAAAACAUCACACACCUUCUUCUGAGCAGCAGUAAGUAAGGGUGAGUACACUUAUGGUUGGUACUCAGCAAAACCAUAUUGUGCCAAUCAUGCACUCAUCACACUACCGAGGUGUGACUACAUAGGGACACUACAAGAUCUUUACAAAGAUUCCCUAAUAAGUGGUAACCCGCUAAGGUUUCAUGUCGAAGUAGAGCAUAAACCUCUCUCAAGAUUGCGAAGCUAACAUAGAGCAGAUCAGACUGAGGGUCGGGUUACACCUCAUCAACGCCUCCCCUCUUGUCCUUUCGGUAAGAUUACCUCAAGCUGGAGUCUCUAAUUAAUUAGCCAAGACCAGAGCCAUAUAGUCCUUGUAGUUGCACUAUUUUCCUGGGUGGUUCUUCAUGUUCCAAUUAAUGCAUGGUAUUCUUGUAAAAUAAGAAUAGAUAGAAGGAUGGUUAAGGACACCUACCUUUAUCCAACGAAAAGUUACUCUUACUGCUCUUUAGCUCUUGCUCUCUUGAAACUCUUAAUCUUCAAAUCUUUUGAACAACUAUCCUUCUAUUUGAAGAAAUCAUCGGCACAAACAUAUAAGCAAACAAAAAAAGUACAAUUAAGAACAAUACACCAAAACAAAAAAAAUCUUGAAAAGAGUAUAAAGGAUAUGGCUCAAUUCUAAGAUCGCGAGGAUGUAAGAAACGCUUAAAACCAAACUAAGGUUGAAAAGACAAAGCUAUUGAGAGAUUUGAAUUAUAAAAGAAAAAGAAAAGCCUACGUGCUUCAUAUAUUUUAAUAAAGAAAACAAUGUAAAGAUAUUUUAGAGAAAAAUCCUUAUCAAGUUAUAUUUAUAUAUGAAAAGAUCAAGGUAGAACUUCGUCAAAUUUUUAUUUAUAAACAUUAAAGUACAAUUUAGGCAAAUUAAACAUUUAAUUUGAAAAUAAAGUAAGAGCCGCAAGACUCAAGGAACAAGCUAAACCAUUCAGUGGAUCUUCGGGGGUCUAGAUGCAAAAAGCUCAGAGCUUUCUUCCUCAUGGCCGACGGUAGCUUGUACUGCCAUGAACGCCGCCAUGCAUACCGCUCAACCAGCCGCCGGCGCCAUAGAUGGUGGCAUUCCGGUUCUUUCCCCAGUGUGGCAGGCCGCCGUACUUGCCCAUUGCCAUCUGCAUCUUGAUCUCGUCCACGACGUCCAAGUUUUGCACUGCACCAUGGACAAAAUAGUGCCCAUUAUCGUGCAGGGUUUUCCAUGUGAAUUGGCCCAAGGUACAUUCAACUUAUUUUGGCUGGCUUGGUCCCAUAGUUUGAACCCAGAUUUUGGAUCUUUCCGCAUUUAAAUUGGUGCUGCUGCUGCAUUUAUUUGAUAAUGGUGCAAGAUAUGGAACCAUACAACAAAGGUAACUCAUCAUUAAUUUAGAAGGGUGCACAGAUUCAUGUAAUAAAUAAUCUACACCACCUAAGAUGUGUCUCUACCUCUAUAUAAACAAGAGCAAUCAAAGCAAUAUGUGCAUACUGGAACAAAAUAUCUACAGGCAUACCAAUAGUGUUCCUUUUCAUAUGGCAGUGAUCAAGAGCAACGCAGUGAGGUCUAUGUGUGCUGCACUUUGCAUUCUUUUGAUAAUGUCUUCAGCCCUCUCGGAGCUGGUGGAAGUUGUGUAUCUAACUGCUUUUCUACUUCCCAUGGUUUCAUUAUAUUCGUGGGGUUUACUAGGUGCGAUGUGGAUUUCAUGCACAUGAUCACGCUGAGUGUGACCCUAUGGACUGAUGCACUGAUCCGAAAUGCUAGGAUGAAUGUCAGAACAAAAAUACUGACCUACCUAUUGAACCUGAGUGCACCACACCUAAGGAGUGUUGCUGCACAUUUUAUUGGGAGGAAGAUAAUUCACUUCUUUGAAUAGAUUAAAAUGGUUGCCGAUGGCUAGAUUCAUUUCAUGGAUGCAGCCGAUACCAGAAUACUACGCUUGCAUGUAAUGCAUCCAUAAUAUGUUUCUACCCAAAUCUAAUAAAAUAAAUGUGUCCCAUUUGUCCUCUUUUCCUCUAGUGUUUUUUUUACUCCCAAAUUCCAUGCUAAUAAAUGCUGUAUACAUGAUUUUAUUUUAAAAACAUUUCUGAAUACAUUUAAUUUGAUAAGUUCAAACACCGAGUGAGUCUUCUAUCUAUUGUAGGCUUAUGUUUAGUGAAGUGUGCCGGGCCUACUACUUCGGUGUUGGGCUGAGCCCACAUGAGAGCAGCUCCAGCGUUGCUCUUUUGAGGGUGCUCCAAGGAGAGAGAAAAAUAUUCUCCGGCAGCUUCACGCUGGAUCAGAGGGUGCUAGGGAGGUGCUAGGGAGCAGCUGAUGAUGAGUUUUGCACCAGGCGCUACGCAUUCAAUAUAUUUUCUGAAGUAACGUGGUUGGAUGGAUAGGUGAGAUAGUGGGAAGAAAAGCUAGAUCAAUGAUUCUUUAUUCAGCUGGAUCAAUGAUUUCUGAGAUGAGGUACUAAGCAGAUUGAACCGCCACAAGUGCCCUUCUCUUCUUAUCAGCCCGGUGUGCCUUGGUAUUGUCUUCCUGAAUAAUGGCCUUAUUAACCAGAUUACUAGAGCUGUCGUAGUAACAACCAAACGAACUGCAGCUUAGUACCGAGGCCCCUUCUCAAGCAAGCCUACUUUUUAGCAUGACAACUGGCGUACCGAGCAAGUUGAUUAACACUAUUAGCAUAUUGGAACACAGUUUGAUUUCUUUGUUUAAGUGACAUGACCUCUGACGGUUUUCUUUAGGCUGUGGAAAACGGCUCGUACCAACUCUGCCCGUUGAGAUGACCACACCCUGUUUCCAUUACCCCGUUAGGAAUGGAAACACAAACCAUUAUCUUGUACCCUAUCUUAACUCUGAAGUCUUCUUGGAAUAAUUUUCCGAUAAGGGCAGUUUUAUUGAUUUAAUAAAUGUUACAUCACGGUGAUAUAAUAAACUUGAAAUCCUCCCAGCAUGUGCAAGCACAGAGCCUUACAGGCAGAAACAAAUGCAGAUGCGCUAAUGACCAUCAAUCCGAGGACUCCGCCACCCAUGCACUUAGGUAAAAAAAUUCCUCGACCACUUUCACCAAGCACUGAGAUGAGAUGCCGCUGCAACGGAAACAUAUGCCGUAGACUUUUGGAGCAUAGCCCAUGUACGAAGCUAGUGGAUAACUCUAAAGAUAACCUGCAUUGGAUGAGAUAAGGGUUUGUUUUCAAAUACCAUAGCAUUCUUGCAGAGCAACAAUAACAACAUAGUAGCAAUCACCCCAAGUAAAUAAUGCCCGUCAACCAAGUGCCGAAAAUAUUUUCUAGGCUAAGGGGCUUGAGAAAGACUUCAGUUGCAAACAUAUCCGUAUUAUCCUCACUGAAUGGUCAUAAGUGUUUCCCUUCCGUUGCCGACACAAGACCAUCCGACGGCGAAGGGUGACUAACGCCACUAGCUGGUAAACUAAGUAUGCUGGAACUUGUCCACUAAGGUUAGAGUCUAGCUAACUCAGCAUGGGUGCCCAUAUUUCUUAAUUAUGUUUCCGUUGGUUGAUAACAUACCCAUCGGCAUCCUAUCGUCAUGACUUAAUGAAUCCCAAUAUCUUCUAGACUAACGUUUACUUACAUGAGUAGGGUGUGUAUGCAUGUGUGGUUAACAGGUAUUUACUUUAAGGUCGGCUGGGCCGGCUUUCUCGAUGUGUCUAAUUAUGCUUAAGAAAAAGAACCACUAGUGGAAAACUGAGUUUUAGUCCCGGUUGCAGACACGCAUAGAUCUCAAAAAUCCAACCGGAACUAAUCAUUCGGACUGUAAUAAUAAAAUUUGUUUGAAAUUAAAUACAUUGCAUUUAAAUUUUCAUGGGCAUUUAAACCUUUUUCAAAAUAAAUUAAUGAAUCAUAGGAGUUCGUUGUUGCAUUCACGAUGGUGCAUUAUUUUUGGUUGCUUGAAUUCAAAUUUGUGUUUGAAUUCAUCUGUUUGACUCUUUUAAACAAAUAGGAAACCCCUUUUCUUUUCCCUCCCUUUUCUUUUCUUCCUUUCAGCCUGUUUCUUUCUUUGGGCCCACUUCCUUCUCUUUCGCCCAGCAGCAAAACUGAAUAUGCACUUUGAAGAUAAACAUGCGAACCAUCAAAGGGCAGCAGACAACUUACAUACGCGACGGAGCGUUGUAAAUGGCAGAGUAGCCUUGCUGCCACGAUCCACUGAGAUUCAGCCCCACGUCGCACGAAUUCCUCCCUCCCCCCUCCACCCCCGACAACGGCUUCAGGCUUGGACCCGCUACGACGACCAAGGACAAAUGCGCUCAAGGCUUGGGAAGAAAUUAACUUCCAUUGUCGGAACACUUGUUAAGGAUUACAAGAGACCAUAUCGCAAGUUUAUCUUCUUAGGUAUGGUCCACAAUGGAAGAGAGAUCUCCUAACUUGACCAAGCGGAUGUACACACUAUCAUUUGGCACGAAUCAGUCCAAGUCAGAUAGGUGCUAGUGGAGUUCCAUAUUCCACUACGUCCGGUAUGUAACUCAUAAUCGACCACCGGGGAGGGACAUGUGUGGGAUGGAUCGAAGACAAGACAAUGGCCAACAAACGCGUGGACAUACCGGCCACAGGGUACCAUUACGUGUUUGUUGGACCCAACACAUGAAAAUAGGUGCGUUGGCCAUGAAAAUGUUUCCUAUAGGUCACACCUAGUGGCAUCAAAACCAUUUAGUGCCACUAACUGGUUGUGAUGAUUGAUGUCACAAACGGUUCUUUGUGCGUAGCCAGUUUAUAGCUGUAAUUCAAUUGAACCUGUUCUAGUACCUUGAACAACUAGUUCUUGAUGAGUAGCCAGGAGUGACGUUCCAUUUGUAACUAUUUAUUCUCUAUUAGUCUAAUGUUGUGAUAAAUGAUUUGCGUUGUCAGUUUAUGCACUUUGGCAGCCUGGAUGUAUGUCUUUUGAAGUAUGUGUAACUUUCUCUAGAAUUGAGGAACUUUAAUUGACUAAGUGGUCUUGGAUUUACAGCAUCAACCACUAUAAUUAGCCAUUGCUCCAAUGGCACAUUUUUUCCGUUAAUGCUAUAUGAUCCGACACCAAUAUGUGUACAAACAUAAGAGCAUCUGACGAGUAUCAUUUUACGGUGAAGACAUUGGAUCCCCACUCGCACUAACACAUUGCAAAUGCGAAAAGCAGGACCGGGUCUCCCCCCUGCAAUAAAUGCCAUUUUAACUGGUCCUAUAAACUGUUUUCUAGUGGUGUGAUGUAGUCUGUUGGAAUCAGCACCGUGGAACCAUCUGACAUUCAUACAUUAGCUUCACCAAACAAAUAUUCUUCUGUGCAUUAAAGCUUCAUACUUCAACAUGUACAAGUUCUCUAUGUAGGAUAUUUCAGCUUGAAGAUCUUCCCUUUCUUGAACUAGCCAUUUGAGCAUUAUUCAUUCUCAGGCCCAUUGUUCCAACGGCUUGCACGUUCUUGGAAUGUGUUAUCAUGGAAUGCUAGGGGUAUCGAUUCGUAGACAAGAUGGAAUGUCGUCAAGAGCAAAAUAUCUGAAUCCAACUGUGAUAUUGCCUGUUUACAAGACACCAAAAGGGAGUUUUUUUAUGCUAGAUAUAUUAGGAACUUCUAUCUCCCACAGUUAGAUUCUUUCGAUUUCAUCCCAUCUAUUGGCAACUCAGGGGGAACUAUUAUAGUGUGGAAUGGUUCCAAAUUCAAGGGGGAACCUAUCUUUCAAAAUCUUUAUGCCCACUUUGUAGAUUUUCAGUGCAAGCUAUCAGGGGAACGUUGGAUCCUCACGAAUAUCUACGCCCCAUGUACUCCGGAGGGGAAGCUAUCCUUUAUUGACUGGUUCAAAAGGGUUGAAAUACCAGAGGAAAAAAAUUGGCUAAUCCGGGAGGAAAUGUUCAGGAAAUGCUUCUCUUCAAUGAAGCUAUUAGCAGGCUUAAACUCACAGAAAUUCAGCUAAAGGAUGCAAGUACACUUGGUCCAACAAACAGCAGAAUCCUCUUCUGGAGAGGCACGAUUGGUUCUUCAUAUCUAACCCUUGGACCAUCUCCUAUCCCAAUACUUAUACCUCAUCGCUGUCUAGUGACUCCUCAUAUCAUGUUCCUUGUGUAGUCUCGAUCUCUAAUAGCAUUCCAAGGCCACAAGUUUUUAGAUUUGAGAAUUAUUGGCUAGAACAUGAUCGGUUCCCAACCAUUCUCCAACAAGGUUGGGCAACUCCACUUCUAGGCACAGAUAGGGCAAAGAACAUCGGGGCCAAGUUCAAAAACCUGAGGAAGGUUUUCAGGAUCUAGAAAGCAUAGCUCCCCAGUCUGGCGAAAGCAAUCCAGAGCACCAAAGACACCAUUAAACUCCCUGACAUCAUCAAAGAACUUAGAGAUCUUACCCUGCAAGAAUGGAACUUUAGAGAAGUCAUCACAUCACAUCUGAAUAGCUUGCUCCACCAACAAAAAGUCUAUUGGCAGCAAAGAAGCUCCAUCAAUUGGGCCAAAAUGGGGGAUGAAUGUACAAAAUUCUGCCAUGCAAGGGCCUCAGUCAGAAAUAGAAUCAAUUAUAUCACUUCUUUAGUUGAUGCCAAUGGACAAAUUGUCUCUAAACAUGAAGCUAAAGCCAGGAUUCUUUGGGAAGCUUAUAAGGAAAGGAUGGGGAGAUUUGAAUUUACACAUGUACUUUGAUCUUUCUACUAUCUUGACAUCAGAUCCAAAUUUGGAAUGGCUAGAAUCUCCCUUUAUGAAAGCAGAGAUCGACACAAUUACAGGGGAACUUCCAAGUAACAAGUCCCAAGGCCCAGAUGGCUUGAAUGGAGAGUUUCUCAAGAGAUGUUGGGACUUGAUAGCUUAAGAUUUUUAUAGACUGUCUGAAGGUUUUCAUGACAUAAGUGUGUGUGUUCAGAGCAUGAAUGCUUCAUACAUCACACUAAUCCCCAAGAAAGAUUGUCCCUCUCAAGUGGGAGACUUCAGGCCAAUCUCCCUCCUAAACUCAACCAUCAAGCUAAUAACUAAAAUUCUAGCAGAAAGGUUACAACAGGUUAUGUUAAGACUAGUGCAUAAAAAACAGUAUGGUUUCAUAAAGUUUAGAUCCAUACAAGACUGUUUAGCACGGGCUUUUGAAUAUCUUCACAUCUGUAAAGCCUCAAAGAGAGAAUUAAUCAUCAGCAAGCUGGACUUUGAAAAAGCCUUUGAUAGGAUUGAGCACCAAGCCAUUUUGGAUAUCUUAAAACAUAAGGGCUUUGGGGACAGAUGGAUUGGGUGGAUAAAGGACAUUCUCAACACUAGAACAUCUUCAGUACUCCUCAAUGGUGUGCCAGGGAAAGUUUUUCAUUGCAGAAGAGGUGUCAGACAGGGGGAUCCUCUAUCCCCACUUCUAUUUGUGCUAGCAGCGGACCUUUUUCAGUCAAUCCUAAAUAAAGCCAAAGAAGAAGGAAGCUUACACCUACCGAUCCCUGAAAGAGCUGGACCUGACUUCCCAGUUAUACAAUAUGCAGAUGACACCCUUCUGGUCAUGGAAGCAGAUCCUUCCCUGUUGUUGCAUCUCAAGCAUCUGCUUAAUUAGUUUGCGGAGUCAACUGGUCUUAAAGUAAACUACAACAAGACUGUUAUGGUACCUCUGAACACUUCUGAGGAUAAACUUCGACAACUUUCGUCAAUGUUCGAUUGCCAUGUCGGAAGCUUGCCACUCACCUACUUGGGGCUACCACUUGGUGCAACAAAGCCUGACAUUGAGGAAUUCCUUCCAUUAAUACAGAAGGUGGAGCGAAGAUUGGGAGGCAUCUCUAACAUGUUAUCUCAAGGGGGCAAACUCGAACAGGUAAAUUCAGUCUUUUCUUCCUCACCAACAUUUCAUAUGGCAACCUUAAAGCUUCACAAGGGGGUUAUCACACAAUUAGAUAAAUAUAGGAAACACUAUCUCUGCAGAGGAUCUAAUUUGAAUUCUAGGAAACCCUCCAAGGCAGCUUGGCCUAUGGUGUGCCUACCAAAACAGCAAGGAGGACUUGGGGUUAUUAACCUAAACAGUCAAAAUGAUGCCCUUCUUCUCAAGUUCUUACACAAGUUCUUCACUAGAGCUGAUACUCCCUGGGUUCAUUUAUUCUAGGAUAACUAUUAUUCUAAUGGGAAACUGCCUGGACAGCACAAAAAGGGCUCAUUCUGGUGGAGAGAUUUAGUCAAGCUACUGGACAAAUACGAAGGAAUAGUGUCGGCAUGGGUAUCGGAUGGCUCUACUGUAUUGUUCUGCAUGGACACAUGGAUUGAGCAGGUCCUCUACCUGGAAUUCCCCCAGUUAUUCUCUUAUGCCAAAAACAAACUGGUAUCAUAUAAGGAGGCUACAAGCAGAAUAUCACUGUCUCAAAAUUUUCACCUGCCACUUUCAGAAGAAGCUCAUCAGCAGUUGCUGAUUCUGCAGAAUAGAUUGAGGAAUACUGUGAGAGCUCAAGGCAGAGAUAAGUGGACUUACAUUUGGGGAAGGCCCCCGCUUUUCGGUAGCAAAAACUUAUAAAGUCAUAACGGGCACAAGAACCAUACAUCCAAUUCAUAGAUGGAUAUGGAAAUCUAAAUGCCAAAAGAAGCACAAGAUAUUUUUCUAGCUAUUAAUUAAAUUCAGACUGAGCACCAAAGACAUUCUAAGCAGAAAAACAAUGUAUUUGGAUACUUAUACUUGUGUGCUUUGCAUCCUCCAGGAAAAGGAGACAAUGCCGCACUUAUUCCUGAGAUGCAACUUCUCGAAAGCUUGUUGGAGCACUUCCUCCAGGCCACCCUUUCGGAUUUUUAACUCAAUCAAGGAUAAACUGAACGUUCCCUUCUACAUGGAGAUCAUCAUUUUAAUGGCCCGGAGCAUUUGGUCCGUGAGGAAUGACUGGACCUUUCAACAAUGUCCCCCCUCGGUACAGAGCUGCAAAAGGAAAUUCAUGGAAAAAAUGAAUACCGUCUGUCUACAUAGAGCGAAAUCUUCCCUAGCUCUUGCCAUGAUGGAAUGGUUGUAAUCUUUUCUUUCUUUUUUCUUCCUUUGUUGUUGCCUUUUCUACCUUCUACUUCUGUUGUUUCUUGGACUCGCCUUUCAUUUAAUAUAUUUCAGUAGGAGCUUGCCCCUCCUGUUCCUUCAAAAAAAAACUUCGAGCACUUCUCCAUGGGCUUCAUCACCAUAGUUUCGAUUUGGGCAAUUUUAUUGCACCGAACCUUCCAGCUUGCAUUUUCUUAACUGAAUCUCGAGCAUGGGGCAAUAUUCUGGCAUCUACAACGGACCUGCCAUCAAGCAUUCCAAUGUAUAGAUCUAUCCUGUUUGUUUGCCUAAUAUUCGGAUGCAAUACUCCGCCGUGUGUAAAAAAAUCCAAGGCCAACGGACCAUACCGUGUUAACAAUUUUAGUGCCUAAUCCAAUACAAAAUUAGUCCCAGUUUGUACGGCUACUCAUUCAUUGCAGUCUUCAGACGAACUCUACGGUGACACAUUUUUGGAAUACUCUGGCAUGUGCAACUGACCUGCCAUCAAGCACUCCGAUGCAUGGUUCUAUCCUCUUUGGUUGCCUUAUAUUCUGUAAAAAAAAAUAUUCAAGGCCAACAGACCAUACCGUGUUAAAAAUUUUAGUGCCCAAUCCAAUACAAAAUCAGUUCCAGCACCUCCACAGUGAUUAUAUUGUAAUUCAAUCACCAAAAUCCGAAACUAUGGUCUAGUGAAGCUAUACUGUGUACGAAAUAUCAAUUCAUGGGAUUUGUCAACGAUUUUAUGAAGCUGUAUAUAUGAUACCUUCCACUACGGGAUUUGUGUACAAAAUAUUAAUUCAUGAGAUUUGUCCAUGAUUUUAGGAAGCUACAAUAUCUUCAACUACCGGAUUGCGUAUAUAAGAUAAUCUUCACCAGUUAUCACAGGUGGAAGCACGCGUUAAAUAAUAAAUGACUAAUGCUGAUUCAACUCUGAGAUGAAAAGGAUUCUGUUCUCAAGAAUCGAAAAAAAGGUAACGUGCUCAUAACAAUGUCGACUCUUCACAUCUGAGAACUACCUACCGUAUGUUAUUAAAACAUUUUUGCUGCCUAUAAAUUGGGCAUCAUUUCAGCAGGCCACCACGGCACCUGAGCUUGCCAUCUUUUCCUGCUCUAUCUCACUCAUUUGUCCCGUAGCUACUAGCUAAGCCACCAUAUCAUCCAUGGCUUCUGGUGCCUCCACCACGCUGAAGAUGGCCUCUAUCGCCGCUUGCAUCCUGCUGGUCCUGCUGUCCAAUGGCCACCCUACCGCGGCGGCCGUUGAUUGUAUUGCGGCUUGCAAAGAACCGUGCCAGGGUUUUUCUAACGGGCUCUGCGCGGGUGGAGCCACCAGCGGUUGUACGACUACGGCAGCAGCUACAGCAUGCCGCAAUUUGGCGUUCUCGCAGUGUGCGAACACCUGCUUCACAGUUUGCACUGCUGUGAGCAUCGCGCCUUGCACUUGAAGAUGCAUUCGUGUUCCUACUUCCACAUUAUUGUUACUGCAGAAUAAUAUGGGUCAGUGCACACAAGCAUACAUGAUGAGCCACUGUCGUUUUUCCAUUUUGUCAUUUAUUUAUUGAAGGCAAUGUACGUUUUUCCAUUUGAUCAUUUACUUAUUGAAGGCAAUGUACGUGUCUAUCUCCUGUGUGGUUGAGCAUGUCAUCUUGGAAUUCUGUCCAAAGUUUUACAUACCACCUUGUAUUGUUGUGUGUGGGUAUCAAUAUAAUUUAUGAACUAUCUUCCUUUACCAUAGACAUAUCUAUGUUUAUUUGCAAGCGUUAGCUAAAUUUUUCCUUGAUUGUGUAUUAACCCCAACUGAACAGAUCAACUUUCCACUGCAAGAAACUAUUUAAUCUGUGACGAAACAAAAUUGUCACGUAUCACUAAAAAAUCGACAUAAAGCAAUGCCUGUGAUGAUUUCAGAUAACGUCAUGUAUUGAGCAUCACAGAUUAAAUCGAUCGACGUUUUCUUCGAAAUCGUCACAGAUCAACACAAUCUAUGAUGUUUUUUACCUGUCACAAAACACCCUUAGGCCCGUGCAGCAGCCCAGGCCUAGUGUUUGUGACGAAAAUAAACAUAACAGAUGGUUGCCACGUGGCUGGUGACGUGGUUGAUGACGUGGACGAUGACAUGGCUAGUGACGUCAUUGAUGACAUGGCCAGUGACGUCGAUGACAUGGAGAGGCUUCACCAUAGUAUUUUGUAUCGACGUUAGACCUAUCGUUUAUUUCCGCUGCUUUUGAACUCUGAACACUACUUUUAUGCAUGUGAACUAUCGGCUUGUAAUAACUUAAUGUGGGACCUGUAAUAAUUUAUCUGGAUUGUUGUAAUCUUUGGACUCGUCUUCGUGCGAGUAUACUUUGUUUCGAUCCGAAACACGUGGUUGCAUCGGGUGAAACCCGACAGACUACCAGUUUAAUUCGAUUAAAGUGUCUAUUCACAUUUAAGGCAAUGUUGAAUAUACUUUAGCCGGGUUAACUUGGAUGGUUCUACCACACUGGCGCAUCCCUGAGGAUUCCUAUCUGCUUGCUCGAUGUCAUCUGUAUCUGGCCCUGUGAUAAGGGCGAAGAGUUCAUUGUCUAGAGAGAGGCUUCCAGAACUUUGGGUGAUGACUUAUGUAGAGUCAUUGUCUUCAUGGAUAGAAGACAAAGGUGAUCCCUCCUAGUACGGAAGAACGUUGAGAUGGGCCAUGAAGCGUGAUUCGUUGUCCUGGGCGAGGGCAGGUAGCCUCAUGCCAGGCCAGUAGAUGAAUCUGCCUUGAGGGGUUGAGGUGAUCACCAGGCCCUGCUGCGAACCUGUUAGUGGAGUUUCCUCGUCGGAAUCCAAGUAGUGAUCGUAGUUGUGGUCCUUAAUCGGACAUGAGUUAGAUUGCAACCCGGAUAAGGCUGCUUGAUAGGUGGAAGCUGCGUUACAGAGUCCGAAUGGGAGUUUGCUCGGAAUUUGACUUGAUUCGGACGAUGCAGAACCCGACAGGAUAACCUACUGGGGUAUUACGUCAAUAGAUCAACCAAAAGAAUGUGCAAUAAUAUCUACCACCAAAGGCAACCCAAAAGCAUUAUCUACCUUCAGUGCCAGAUCAGUCAUCAACAAAGAUCUAUGGAGACCUUGUUUUCUCUUGCUUUGGAUUUGGAGAUAGCAUAGAACAAAAGCCUUGAACCUAAAUAAACAAAGAAAAAAAGUACUGCAGUGCUAAAAAUAAGAAAUACCUCGUAGAAAAAUACCAGUAAUGGGUUUAUGGGUUCCCACUCAUCCUUGGGUAGCCACUUCUCUAGAGAGAUUCUUGUGUGUUCCGGUGUUGUAGUUUUCUGCGCAUGAUACAUACCAACAUAAGGGCUAUUCCCCAACCUCAUAAUCGAUAGUAAUGUACAUCUUCUGGAAAGGACCUCUUUCUGUUGCAAGUGUGACUGCCACGCUCAUGCCAUUAAAGAAGUUAGCAGUUCGGUUAGGCAAUUAGUUGCCCACAGGAGGAAAGUAAAGCAACCGUGGAGAGUGAAGAGGCGUCUUUCUAGCUCCAGCACCAAGCACACCACACCAGUCAUCAGCUAAUCUGAUGACAUGGCAGGAAAUUUAAGAGGGGAGAGAAGGAAUUAGUUUCAUCUAGAUGAAAUUCUUCUCGCACAAAACCAACUCUGAAUGUGUCAUGAAAUUAAAUGUACCCCAUGCCGCUUUUUAUGCGCUCUUAUUAAUGUUGCUUUGUCUAAGUUCAAUACACUUAUCAAGACUAUCGCAUUUGGUGACUGGCAGUCCACCUAAGGGUACCAAGAUGGUUGAUUUGUAAACAGAGAGGAUCACAAGACCAUGAACUACUUGAUGGUAAUGCAAGGCACAAGACAUAGAGAUUUAUACAUGUUCGAGCCGUUAGUGUAGCGUAAUACCCUACGUCCUGUUUUGGGGGAUUGUAUUGCGCUCUGCACUUGGGUGUUGGUUGUUAAGUUGAGGGAUUGGCCGUCCUCCUAGGGGUACCCCUACGUACCCUUAUAUACUCCCCUAAUAACUCUUCUUAAUAGGAUAGAUUACCAAGUAGAAUUAAUUAUGCAUGCACGCUUGCAGUAAUUGUCGCACCUAUUAGCCUUCCUUAUUUAGCGAGACUUCCUCGGGCAUCGAUGGUGUGCCGUUUCUAUAGUGAACGGUAAUGAAUGUGGACACUUUUAUGAGUGCUGACAUGAAAGGUUCAAUUUGUAUGAAUGAUCUUCUAUAGGUACACUAACCGCGCUUAGGUUACGUUAACAAAAGGUUAGAGAAUUGACUAGUUAUUAUAGGAAGAGCCGUAAACUGUUGCCUCGCCACCAGCACUAACCCCGUAAGUCCAAGUAAUUGGCAGUUUUUUCAUUUGUGAGGACGCAUAGGUCAUGCAUGCAUCAUGUUAAAAACUUGCAAAUUAGAAAUUGGAACAACUUUCCUAUAGAUGAUUGGGAGGACUAAUGUCACUCUCAAAAAAAAUUUUGCCAAAUCACCUAAGGAUUUUCUAGUUGUCUCGAACUGCAGCUAACUACUGUCAGAAAUUUUUUUCUCCGAGCUCUUAAAUGGUCUUGGUUCCAGAAUUUAGUAAAUGAUAUGCUGUAAAAGUUUCAUAAAUUUUGGUCAAGUGAAACUCGAGUUAUGCUUCAAUAAAUUCCCGGGUUGACUCGUACCCAAAGGAGGAAGUUGCAGAGGUUAAGGCUGCAGGAGAAGAGGGAACAGAAGCUGGAGAAGCGAAGGAAUGAGGCAUUCAACACGAAUAGACCCAUAGUCCCUCAGAAGAAGGAGUGGAGAGUUAAGGCCGAUACCCCCAACUCCACCAGUCAGACCGGCAGAAGGACCGGUCGGACCUAGUGCGGUCGGCACGGUCGGGGCGGUCACUGGCACAGUCGGCGUGGUUGAUGAUUCGGUCGGCGCGGUUGUCGGCGCAGUCAGACCGGUUGGGGGGUCAGCGAGGAGCGACGGCGGGGCAACAAAGUAACCGUGAGCGUGGCGGGGCGGAGCUUGAGCGGCGGAGGCGGAUGGGAGGGGUGGAGGCGGCGGUGGAUGUGGAGGGGAGGUAGCGGAGGGGGAGGAGGAUGAGGAGGCAGAGGAGGUCGGCGGUGGGCGGAGGAGGUGGAGGAGGGUGAGGAGGAGGAGGAGGCGGAGGGAGGUCAGGGCUGGCGGGGGGAUUUUCUUUUUUUAAGAACGUUCAGCUUUAUUAUCACCUAGCGGAGGCAGAUGGAGUUCCACAACAUGGUGUAUCGGAUGGGCAUUUCAUUGAAGUCCCUAGGGGCGUCCAAUGGGCGGCUGUAGUGGGUGUACAUCAGGACGAGCGUCUGUAGCCAUUGCGACAGCCUAGAGCACGACAACGAGGCAGAAGACCCCAUCACGGGUGCAGAUGGCCAGCGUUUUUUUAAAAAAAACUUACAGGUGGCCAGUGUGGUGGGCGUGAUUGGGCUUAUCACCAGUGGCGGAGGAGGCGGACGCACGAAGUGACGGGAAUGGCGCCGAGUUUGGUCGAACCAUCUGGAAACCAGAGUUGCAACGCUUGCACUGGACGGCUGAGAUUUACGAUGCUCGAUAUCUGACGGGCGAAAAAGGGAGAGACUUGGCCCAAUCACUGCAGAGAAACUUCACCGGAUUUAGGUCUUUAAAGAAGAUUGUAAGGCCUGAUUGGUUGGGGGAUCAAAAUGUAUCAAACCAAAAUCAGGGUAAGCCUAAUAAUUUUGGCAGCUGUGUAUAUUUAGAUGCAUAUAAACAUUUAUAAACCUAAAAAAUUAAAACGACCUGCAAUUAAAACUCGAGGGGUAAAAAAGAAGGCCCUGACAAACGCGUCAGCACAUUCCUGCCUUUCUCCCCCGAAUGAGUAAACUCCAAUCCAAAAUUUGACUGUAUUUUGUUAACGGUUAUAUUUCAUAAGUUUCAUAACAAUAACCAGCUAGGGCUAAUGAUGAAAUGAAAUUGGCCACAAUUUUUGUUCUUGGGAGGUAUCUGUGAGGUGAGAAAAUGGGCAACAUGUGUGGAAAAUGCUAAUACGCCUACCGUGUGGCAUAUUUUGCGUUGUAUCAUAUACUUUCCGGAACAGUUGUAAUUGCCACAUCUUUUUUUCCCAGCAGAGUUGCCAAAAUGUGUUGGCGCCUUUUCCGACCAACACAUGAGUGCGCUAGCUUGCGUGUAGAUUGGAAAUCUCCUCGUUGAAGCUCCUGCACCUGGCCGGUCAGAUCGGUCAGGGGGUCCGAUCGGGCCGGUCGUCGUAGGGGCACCGUGAAAACCUACGUCCACCACCUCGGGAGGGACCCUAUCGGAGAUGGCGAACCUAGGGUUGCUCUGAGAUCGGCAGGCCACUUUAAACGUUCUCAAACACCGCCGGGACAAAAGAGGAAAGCAAGUGGGUUGGAAAAGCUAAGGUUUUGAGAUAAAAGGGUAAAAAGAUAUGUUUGACGAUUGGGUGAUACCCCUCAAUCCAACUUACCAAUACUGAUACAAGAUAUGCUCAACUUGUGAACUUAACUGAGGUAUAUGCUUUCUAUGUUCGUCCAUUCCAGCAAUUGUCUAAGGCAACGCGAAAUCCAGUUACUGUGGGCUAAUAACAACCUAUCUGUUGGUGUUUCUUGGUGUCUAUGGGUGUGCUUCUGAUUUGCAUGCUUUUUUUGUUUGUUGUGUGAUGAAAUAAGGCACUAUGUACAUCUUUGCUUAUUAUUUCCCACUGAUAUAUGGGUACGGACGUGUAAUCAUUAAUUGUGCUAUUCAUUCAGCUGACGACAGUCAGUUGACAUCACUUGAAAGUAUGCUUGAAUUCGUAAGGUGUCCCGUGCAAGUAGCGUGGCUACAACCGCGGCAAUAUUUUUUUCUGAUCAAAAUCGAUCGUCCUUUUUUGUUGAAAACAUAAGUAUGAUAUACUUCACGUGAUGUUAGACUUGAAAAUUUUUGAGUGCAAUAUAUGAGUAAGUAUUCAAUACUAACAUUUUUUCUCUAAACAUUAACUACCAACAUAGCUUAUCAGAUAAUGCAGCAUUGUUUAUCCGACAUGCAUAACCACCUAACACUCAGACACUGAGACACACCAUCCAUUACCGUCACUGAAUCUAUGUCAGCGUGCUGAGCCAGGGUUAGGAACCUCCACUAACUCGUUAGAGGCAAACCCAAGAUCUAGACUGCUUCUGCUUAAUUCCAUCACUAGCUUAAUCCACUAUGAAAUGUAAAUGCACAACACUCUUAGCAAUUCGCUCAUAAGAUUCUUGAAUUUGGCAAAUUUUUGGUGCAAUCUUCACUGCGAGAAAAACGACCUUUUGUCCAACAUAUUAGUACCGGCCACAUUUCAACCCGUACUAAUACCAACAUUAGUAUCGGAUCCAAUUUAGUAGCCACCGGAGACCUUUUAGUACCAGGUCAUAACACCACCCAAUACUAAAAUGUUGAAGAUAGGUUGCCAAUGGUGAGGUGGAGCGUGGGGUCGAUGACGGUAAUAGCGGCGGGGAACUUCAACCCCCAGCCGAAGGGGCCAUGGCAGGUGGCAGGGAGAGGUUGAGGCUGUAGAGGAGAGGGUGUUUGAGCUUUGGGGGUGGCGAUUUGGAUUUGUUGAAGGAUAGCGGUGGGAUUUGCUGCUCAUUGUGGUUCAGGUGGAGGAACAAAGUAGAAAGAAAGAGACGAAAAUGUGGCCAACACUUUCAAGGAAAAGCAUGAGGUGAGAUGGAGGAAUGCAUGAGUGAGGGUGUGGAUAGGCAACCCUUGAAAUGGAUUUCCAAGGACGGAUCACGGGAUGAACCAUCCCUGGAAAUGGGGCUAUUUUUAGGAGCGGAGGGAAACAUGGCCUGCAUCUAUAAAUAAGUAUUUUUAGGGGUAGGUCUUGUUUCUGUUCGUUCUAGGAAAUGUAUAUUUCUAGGGGUACCCCACCCCAUAAUUGUAACACCUGCUUUUAAAACAAAACCAAGUGUUACCUAUAUGUAUGCCAGGAUCUAGUUUCAUAUAUAUAGUGAUAUCAUCAGUGAAUAAUAGUAACAAUAUCACGUAAAAAAAUAUAAAUAAUGACUUACGAGUGUAUCAGAGAUAUACAACUUAAUCAUGGAAAUCAAGGCUCCAAACUUCACAAGCAAUCGACUGUGGGUUGCGUAUGUCUAGAACUCAGCAUCAUCUUGAGAAAACAUCACACACCUUCUUCUGAGCAGCAGUAAGUAAGGGUGAGUACACUUAUGGUUGGUACUCAGCAAAACCAUAUUGUGCCAAUCAGGCACUCAUCACACUACCGAGGUGUGACUACAUAGGGACACUACGAGACCUUUACAAAGAUUCCCUAAUAAGUGGUAACCUGCUAAGGUUUCAUGUCGAAGUAGAGCAUAAACCUCUCUCAAGAUUGCGAAGCUAACAUAGAGCAGAUCAGACUGAGGGACGGGUUAUACCUCAUCAACGCCUCCCCUCUUGUCCUUUCGGUAAGAUUACCUCAAGCUGGAGUCUCUAAUUAAUUAGCCAAGACCAGAGCCAUAUAGUCCUUGUAGUUGCACUAUUUUCCUGGGUGGUUCUUCAUGUUCCAAUUAAUGCAUGGUAUUCUUGUAAAAUAAGAAUAGAUAGAAGGAUGGUUAAGGACACCUACCUUUAUCCAACGAAAAGUUACUCUUACUGCUCUUUAGCUCUUGCUCUCUUGAAACUCUUAAUCUUCAAAUCUUUUGAACAACUAUCCUUCUAUUUGAAGAAAUCAUCGGCACAAACAUAUAAGCAAACAAAAAAAGUACAAUUAAGAACAAUACACCAAAACAAAAAAAAGCUUGAAAAGAGUAUAAAGGAUAUGGCUCAAUUCUAAGAUCGCGAGGAUGUAAGAAACGCUUAAAACCAAACUAAGGUUGAAAAGACAAAGCUAUUGAGAGAUUUGAAUUAUAAAAGAAAAAGAAAAGCCUACGUGCUUCAUAUAUUUUAAUAAAGAAAACAAUGUAAAGAUAUUUUAGAGAAAAAUCCUUAUCAAGUUAUAUUUAUAUAUGAAAAGAUCAAGGUAGAACUUCAUCAAAUUUUUAUUUAUAAACAUUAAAGUACAAUUUAGGCAAAUUAAACAUUUAAUUUGAAAAUAAAGUAAGAGCCGCAAGACUCAAGGAACAAGCUAAACCAUUCAGUGGAUCUUCGGGGGUCUAGAUGCAAAAAGCUCAGAGCUUUCUUCCUCAUGGCCGACGGUAGCUUGUACAGCCAAAUCACUGGCGCUACGGCGGCUGGGGUCUCCAGCGGACGGCACAGGAGGUGGAGGAGGUCCAGGGGAUCUAGUGGAGGCUCUUACCGGUGGGGGAGGUGAAGGGGGGCGGCCGAAAUUCGGAGGCGACAAUGACCGCAGCGGUGGCUCGAGCUCCGCGCGGUGGCAACGCUCCGGUGAUGGAGGGGCGUCGAGGGCUGGCGUCAGUUCUUCAUCUUGGAAGGAAAAUAAUUUCCCGUGGAAGGAAAAUCCAGAUAAAUCAAGAUAAUUCAAUAAAAGCUACAAAAAAUACUCUAAAAAUUCCCAAAAAUUUUAGGAAAAAUCCUAGUCGUAGAUUGGGACAUGAGGAAUCCAAAUAAAAUACUUGGAGCCCAUGAAAAAGGAAUUAGAGCCUUCUACUAAAUAGAUUUAUUUCUAGGAAAAUGAGAAUAAAUACCAGAAAGAUCUGGAAAAUUCUCAGGAGAAUUUGGUCGUCGUCUAAAUGCAUUUUUGAAACUUUUUCACUCAUGAAAUACUAUAAUGCAUCGGCAGGAAUGCAAAACACGUAGAAACAUUUUAUUUCUUUCAAAAUCAAUGAAUUGUUUUUCCUAUACUACAUUUCCUGUCAAAAAAAUAAAUGUUGAAAUUUUUUUAAAAUUAUGAGAAAAUCAUUGUUUAAUUAUUAUUUUUAUUUAAUCACAUCCUAAAAUCUAAAAAUUUCAGGGUGUGAAUAAUCCACCCCUAUAAAUCCAUUUUUAGAGGUGGAUGAAUUGCUACAGUAACACCUAUUUUUGGUUGGGGGGCUUCUCAUCCAGCCAAAAAAAUCAAGUGGCACCUAAAAAUCAUUUUUUAGUAGUGAUCGUACACGCGCUUCACUGCCAUGAACGCCGCCAUGCAUACCGCUCAACCAGCCGCCGGCGCCAUAGAUGGUGGCAUUCCGGUUCUUUCCCCAGUGUGGCAGGCCGCCGUACUUGCCCAUUGCCAUCUGCAUCUUGAUCUCGUCCACGACCUCCAAGUUUUGCACUGCACUAUGGACAAAAUAGUGCCCAUUAUCGUGCAGGGUUUUCCAUGUGAAUUGGCCCAAGGUACAUUCAACUUAUUUUGGCUGGCUUGGUCCCACAGUUUGAACCCAGAUUUUGGAUCUUUCCGCAUUUAAAUUGGUGCUGCUGCUGCAUUUAUUUGAUAAUGGUGCAAGAUAUGGAACCAUACAACAAAGGUAACUCAUCAUUAAUUUAGAAGGGUGCACAGAUUCAUGUAAUAAAUAAUCUACACCACCUAAGAUGUGUCUCUACCUCUAUAUAAACAAGAGCAAUCAAAGCAAUAUGUGCAUACUGGAACAAAAUAUCUACAGGCAUACCAAUAGUGUUCCUUUUCAUAUGGCAGUGAUCAAGAGCAGCGCAGUGAGGUCCAUGUGUGCUGCACUUUGCAUUCUUUUGAUAAUGUCUUCAGCCCUCUCAGAGCUGGUGGAAGUUGUGUAUCUAACUGCUUUUCUACUUCCCAUGGUUUCAUUAUAUUCGUGGGGUUUACUAGGUGCGAUGUGGAUUUCAUGCACAUGAUCACGCUGAGUGUGACCCUAUGGACUGAUGCACUGAUCCGAAAUGCGAGGAUGAAUGUCAGAACAAAAAUAUUGACCUACCUAUUGAACCUGAGUGCACCACACCUAAGGAGUGUUGCUGCACAUUUUAUCGGGAGGAAGAUAAUUCACUUCUUUGAAUAGAUUAAAAUGGUUGCCGAUGGCUAGAUUAAUUUCAUGGAUGCAGCCGAUACCAGAAUACUACGCUUGCAUGUAAUGCAUCCAUAAUAUGUUUCUACCCAAAUCUAAUAAAAUAAAUGUGUCCCAUUUGUCCUCUUUUCCUCUAGUGUUUUUUUUACUCCCAAAUUCCAUGCUAAUAAAUGCUGCAUACAUGAUUUUAUUUUAAAAACAUUUCUGAAUACAUUUAAUUUGAUAAGUUCAAACACCGAGUGAGUCUUCUAUCUAUUGUAGGCUUAUGUUUAGUGAAGUGUGCCGGGCCUACUACUUCGGUGUUGGGCUGAGCCCACAUGAGAGCAGCUCCAGCGUUGCUCUUUUGAGGGUGCUCCAAGGAGAGAGAAAAAUAUUCUCCGGCAGCUUCACGCUGGAUCAGAGGGUGCUAGGGAGGUGCUAGGGAGCAGCUGAUGAUGAGUUUUGCACCAGGCGCUACGCAUUCAAUAUAUUUUCUGAAGUAACGUGGUUGGAUGGAUAGUUGAGAUAGUGGGAAGAAAAGCUAGAUCAAUGAUUCUUUAUUCAGCUGGAUCAAUGAUUUCUGAGAUGAGGUACUCAGCAGAUUGAACCGCCACAAGUGCCCUUCUCUUCUUAUCAGCCCGGUGUGCCUUGGUAUUGUCUUCCUGAAUAAUGGCCUUAUUAACCAGAUUACUAGAGCUGUCGUAGUAACAACCAAACGAACUGCAGCUUAGUACCGAGGCCCCUUCUCAAGCAAGCCUACUUUUUAGCAUGACAGCUGGCGUACCGAGCAAGUUGAUUAACACUAUUAGCAUAUUGGAACACAGUUUGAUUUCUUUGUUUAAGUGACAUGACCUCUGACGGUUUUCUUUAGGCUGUGGAAAACGGCUCGUACCAACUCUGCCCGUUGAGAUGACCACACCCUGUUUCCAUUACCCCGUUAGGAAUGGAAACACAAACCAUUAUCUUGUACCCUAUCAUAACUCUGAAGUCUUCUUGGAAUAAUUUUCCGAUAAGGGAAGUUUUAUUGAUUUAAUAAAUGUUACAUCACGGUGAUAUAAUAAACUUGAAAUCCUCCCAGCAUGUGCAAGCACAGAGCCCUACAGGCAGAAACAAAUGCAGAUGCGCUAAUGACCAUCAAUCCGAGGACUCCGCCACCCAUGCACUUAGGUAAAAAAAUUCCUCGACCACUUUCACCAAGCACUGAGAUGAGAUGCCGCUGCAACGGAAACAUAUGCCGUAGACUUUUGGAGCAUAGCCCAUGUACGAAGCUAGUGGAUAACUCUAAAGAUAACCUGCAUUGGAUGAGAUAAGGGUUUGUUUUCAAAUACCAUAGCAUUCUUGCAGAGCAACAAUAACAACAUAGUAGCAAUCACCCCAAGUAAAUAAUGCCCGUCAACCAAGUGCCGAAAAUAUUUUCUAGGCUAAGGGGCUUGAGAAAGACUUCAGUUGCAAACAUAUCCGUAUUAUCCUCACUGAAUGGUCAUAAGUGUUUCCCUUCCGUUGCCGACACAAGACCAUCCGACGGCGAAGGGUGACUAACGCCACUAGCUGGUAAACUAAGUAUGCUGGAAUUUGUCCACUAAGGUUAGAGUCUAGCUAACUCAGCAUAGGUGCCCAUAUUUCUUAAUUAUGUUUCCGUUGGUUGAUAACAUACCCAUCGGCAUCCUAUCGUCAUGACUUAAUGAAUCCCAAUAUCUUCUAGACUAACGUUUACUUACAUGAGUAGGGUGUGUAUGCAUGUGUGGUUAACAGGUAUUUACUUUAAGGUCGGCUGGGCCGGCUUUCUGGAUGUGUCUAAUUAUGCUUAAGAAAAAGAACCACUAGUGGAAAACUGAGUUUUAGUCCCAUAUGCAGACACGCAUAGAUCUCAAAAAUCCAACCGGAACUAAUCAUUCGGACUGUAAUAAUAAAAUUUGUUUGAAAUUAAAUACAUUGCAUUUAAAUUUUCAUGGGCAUUUAAACCUUUUUCAAAAUAAAUUAAUGAAUCAUAGGAGUUCGUUGUUGCAUUCACGAUGGUGCAUUAUUUUUGGUUGCUUGAAUUCAAAUUUGUGUUUGAAUUCAUCUGUUUGACUCUUUUAAACAAAUAGGAAACCCCUUUUCUUUUCCCUCCCUUUUCUUUUCUUCCUUUCAGCCUGUUUCUUUCUUUGGGCCCACUUCCUUCUCUUUCGCCCAGCAGCAAAACUGAAUAUGCACUUUGAAGAUAAACAUGCGAACCAUCAAAGGGCAGCAGACAACUUACAUACACGAAGGAGCGUUGUAAAUGGCAGAGUAGCCUUGCUGCCAUGAUCCACUGAGAUCCAGCCCCACGUCGCACGAAUUCCUCCCUCCCCCCUCCACCCCCGACAACGGCUUCAGGCUCGGACCCGCUAUGACGACCAAGGACAAAUGCGCUCAAGGCUUGGGAAGAAAUUAACUUCCAUUGUCGGAACACUUGUUAAGGAUUACAAGAGACCAUAUCGCAAGUUUAUCUUCUUAGGUAUGGUCCACAAUGGAAGAGAGAUCUCCUAACUUGACCAAGCGGAUGUACACACUAUCAUUUGGCACGAAUCAGGCCAAGUCAGAUAGGUGCUAGUGGAGUUCCAUAUUCCACUACGUCCGGCAUGUAACUCAUAAUCGACCACUGGGGAGGGACAUGUGUGGGAUGGAUCGAAGACAAGACAAUGGCCAACACACGCGUGGACAUACCGGCCACAGGGUACCAUUACGUGUUUGUUGGACCCAACACAUGAAAAUAGCUGCGUUGGCCAUGAAAAUGUUUCCUAUACGUCAUGGGAGCGCGUAAACGGCCACACUGGCCACCGGAGACGAAAACAUGGGCGAUGGACCGAAGAAGGGAAGAUGGCCUCCGGACAUGUGUUCGGCCAUGAAAACGUUUCCUAUAGGUCACAGGAGCGCGAAAAUGGCCUCACCGGCCACCGGGGACGAAAACGUGGGAGAUGGACCGAAUACAUGAAAAUGCCUAACGAAUGUGUGUUCAGCCAUGAAAACGUGUGUUCUAGGUCACGGGAGCCUGAAAACGGCCUCACCAGCUAUCAAGGACGAAAACGUGGGGGAUGGACUGAUUGCAUGAAAAUGCCUAACGAACACGUGUUCGUCCAUGAAAACAUGUGUUAUAGGUCACGGGAGCCUGAAAAUGGCCUCACCGGCUAUCGGGGACAAAAACAUGGGGGAUGGACCGAAUACAUGAAAAUGCCUAACGAACGUGUGUUCGGUCAUGAAAAGGUGUGUUAUAGGUCACGGGAGCUUGAAAAAUAGCCUCACCGGCCUCCGGGUAUGAAAACGUGGGUGAUGGACCGAAUAUGUGAAAAUGCCUAACAAAAGCAUGUUCGGCCAUGAAAAUGCCCAACGAACAUGAGUUUGGCCAUGAACGGGUGAAAACGGCUCAAGAACGGGUGACAACGGACUCCAAAGGGGCUGGGAUGGAGUUUCCGUGUUGGCACCGAGCCCCCUACGUGCCCCCCUGUCAUCUCGGCCUAUCACACAGAUUUCAGGUGACCCCUAGAACUGUGCACCCUGUGGGACAAAAUUCCCCGGAACUUCUGGGUGGGGGGGAUGCCGCACAGGUAUAGUAGGGGGAGCUGGUGCGUCCUCUGGGUGCUUGAGAAAACGAUGUUCAGCCGUAUGAAUAACGUUGGUUUUGACAUGUUUUCGAGGUAUUCGGGGCGUACUCCCCCGGCCGCGGUGCGGCCGGACCGUGGCCGCACCGCAGCUCAUGUGGGAAGGCUUGGGGGCUGGCUACGGCUGGUCACAGUAGGCUGCGGCCGACUGUUGCUGGGCUGCGGGCGCCUGGAAUGUGCUUGCGCUUGCCGUUGGCUGGCCGUGGCCGCCCCAGGCGUGCUGCGGCCGGUCGUUAGCUUACCUUUUGCUGCUCGGGGCAUUCAGUUGCUGGCCGUUGGCAGGCUAAUGCCGUCCCAGGCGGGCUGCGGCCGGCCAUGAUGGAAGGGAUGAGGUUGUGUUUGUUAUAUGCACCGAAAUUGUUCAUUCUCAUGCUCUAUGGACCUUCGACCGUCGUCCUCACAAGUAGACUUGCCAUGCCUAGCGUGGUAGGAUGCUUAGGAUGGCUUGACCGUCGCGCUACACUAAUAUUGGACCUGUGACUGCUUGGAGGCCCUCCGCCCUAGUGUGGCCGACUCUUGGUGCCAGUUCCCUUCAGUUGUGUGGGCAUCAUGCUCGCGCCUCUGGCGAGUGCUUGCAUGCUGCUACCCGUUCUACGGGAAGUUGCAUUCGCUACGGGUUGCCUUCGUUGUGCCCACCCCCUGGGUGUGGCACUUUGGUUAUAGAGCACUUGCGGCGUCACCUCGUGGUACCUGCUACACCGGUCGGCACCACCAAGGUCAUCUCGCUUGUGCUCUUUGUCUCGGAUGGAGCUAUCGAUAUAGGGCGAGGCUGCUUCGGCACCUUGUUCCUUGCAAAUUCGGUACCUUCGGAAAAACGAAACCAACCCAGCCAACACCUCGUGCCGAAGCUAGCGACAGCUUGUCGAGGAGGACGUGCUAACCUGGUUGAUCCUGCCAGUAGUCAUAUGCUUGUCUCAAAGAUUAAGCCAUGCAUGUGCAAGUAUGAACUAACUCGAACUGUGAAACUGUCGUUUAAUGAUGUUUAAAAGUUGCAAGGGCCCCUCUGUAAAAACGUGUUCAAUCUUUUCUGAUUUAAAAUGAAUUAAAUGGCUGAAACUUUGUAAACGUGUAGAAAAUUGUAGAAAAAUGGUAAAAAUGUGAAAGAUGUCAUGCCCCUGCAAAAAGAACAAGUAGCUCAAUGGUUUGUGCGAUAAAUCCUAUCCUUGAGGUGCUCGUUUACCAAUUUGCACCGAAACAUUAUCUUAGCUCCCACAUGAUAUUAUCUAAAGGCAAAGAAGGUGACAUUGAACAUGAUACACCACGAGAUUUUACUGGAGAAUACAUUGAGAGGUACAGGAUAGGGUUUGUGUGGAAUGUGAUCGGUGCUUAUAAAUAUGACAUAGCAUCAGUACAUCACAACUGGUUGUAGACUGCAACCGACAAUUUUCUUAGACCCUUUGCAUUUUGUAAUAGUUAUAUUCCCUUUACUAAAGUUCUUAUUACAACCAGGUUUCAUAGUACCUAGUGGCAUCAAAACCAUUUAGCGCCACUAACUGGUUGUGAUGAUUGAUGUCACAAACGGUUCUUUGUGCGUAGCCAGUUUAUAGCUGUAAUUCAAUUGAACCUGUUCUAGUACCUUGAACAACUAGUUCUUGAUGAGUAGCCAGGAGUGACGUUCCAUUUGUAACUAUUUAUUCUCUAUUAGUCUAAUGUUGUGAUAAAUGAUUUGCGUUGUCAGUUUAUGCACUUUGGCAGCCUGGAUGUAUGUCUUUUGAAGUAUGUGUAACUUUCUCUAGAAUUGAGGAACUUUAAUUGACUAAGUGGUCUUGGAUUUACAGCAUCAACCACUAUAAUUAGCCAUUGCUCCAAUGGCCCAUUUUUUCCGUUAAUGCUAUAUGAUCCGACACCAAUAUGUGUACAAACAUAAGAGCAUCUGACGAGUAUCAUUUUACGGUGAAGACAUUGGAUCCCCACUCGCAGUAACACAUUUCAAAUGUGGAAAGCAGGACCGGGUCUCCCCCCUGCAAUAAAUGCCAUUUUAACUGGUCCUAUAAACUGUUUUCUAGUGGUGUGAUGUAGUCUGUUGGAAUCAGCACCGUGGAACCAUCUGACAUUCAUACAUUAGCUUCACCAAGCAAAUAUUCUUCUGUGCAUUAAAGCUUCAUACUUCAACAUGUACAAGUUCUCUAUGUAGGAUAUUUCAGCUAGAAGAUCUUCCCUUUCUUGAACUAGCCAUUUGAGCAUUAUUCAUUCUCAGGCCCAUUGUUCCAACGGCUUGCACGUUCUUGGAAUGUGUUAUCAUGGAAUGCUAGGGGUAUCGAUUCGUAGACAAGAUGGAAUGUCGUCAAGAGCAAAAUAUCUGAAUCCAACUGUGAUAUUGCCUGUUUACAAGACACCAAAAGGGAGUUUUUUGAUGCUAGAUAUAUUAGGAAUUUCUAUCCCCCACAGUUAGAUUCUUUCGAUUUCAUCCCAUCUAUUGGCAACUCAGGGAGAACUAUUAUAGUGUGGAAUGGUUCCAAAUUCAAGGGGGAACGUAUCUUUCAAAAUCUUUAUGCCCACUUUGUAGAUUUUCAGUGCAAGCUAUCAGGGGAACAUUGGAUCCUCACGAAUAUCUACGCCCCAUGUACUCCGGAGGGGAAGCUAUCCUUUAUUGACUGGUUCAAAAGGGUUGAAAUACCAGAGGAAAAAAAUUGGCUAAUAGUUGGGGACUUCAACCUUCUUAGGAAGCCGGAUGACAGAAACAAUCCAGGGGAAACAAUCCGGGAGGAAAUGUUCAGGAAAUGCUUCUCUUCAAUGAAGCUAUUAGCAGGCUUAGGCUCACAGAAAUUCAGCUCAAAGGAUGCAAGUACACUUGGUCCAACAAACAACAGAAUCCUCUUCUGGAGAGGCACGAUUGGUUCUUCAUAUCUAACCCUUGGACCAUCUCCUAUCCCAAUACUUAUGCCUCAUCGCUGUCCAGUGACUCCUCAUAUCAUGUUCCUUGUGUAGUCUCGAUCUCUAAUACCAUUCCAAGGCCACAAGUUUUUAGAUUUGAGAAUUAUUGGCUAGAACAUGAUCGGUUCCCAACCAUUCUCCAACAAGGUUGGGCAACUCCACUUCUAGGCACAGAUAGGGCAAAGAACAUUGGGGCCAAGUUCAAAAACCUGAGGAAGGUUUUCAGGAUCUAGAAAGCAUAGCUCCCCAGUCUGGCGAAAGCAAUCCAGAGCACCAAAGACACCAUUAAACUCCUUGACAUCAUCGAAGAACUUAGAGAUCUUACCCUGCAAGAAUGGAACUUUAGAGAAGUCAUCACAUCACAUCUGAAUAGCUUGCUCCACCAACAAAAAGUCUAUUGGCAGCAAAGAAGCUCCAUCAAUUGGGCCAAAAUGGGGGAUGAAUGUACAAAAUUCUGCCAUGCAAGGGCCUCAGUCAGAAAUAGAAUCAAUUAUAUCACUUCUUUAGUUGAUGCCAAUGGACAAAUUGUCUCUAAACAUGAAGCUAAAGCCAGGAUUCUUUGGGAAGCUUAUAAGGAAAGGAUGGGGAGAUUUGAAUUUACUCACAUGUACUUUGAUCUUUCUACUAUCUUGACAUCAGAUCCAAAUUUGGAAUGGCUAGAAUCUCCCUUUAUGAAAGCAGAGAUCGACACAAUUACAGGGGAACUUCCAAGUAACAAGUCCCAAGGCCUAGAUGGCUUGAAUGGAGAGUUUCUCAAGAGAUGUUGGGACUUGAUAGCUGAAGAUUUUUAUAGACUGUCUGAAGGUUUUCAUGACAUUAGUGUGUGUGUUCAGAGCAUGAAUGCUUCAUACAUCACACUAAUCCCCAAGAAAGAUUGUCCCUCUCAAGUGGGAGACUUCAGGCCAAUCUCCCUCCUAAACUCAACCAUCAAGCUAAUAACUAAAAUUCUAGCAGAAAGGCUACAACAGGUUAUGUUAAGACUAGUGCAUAAAAAACAGUAUGGUUUCAUAAAGUUUAGAUCCAUACAAGACUGUUUAGCAUGGGCUUUUGAAUAUCUUCACAUCUGUAAAGCCUCAAAGAGAGAAUUAAUCAUCAGCAAGCUAGACUUUGAAAAAGCCUUUGAUAGGAUUGAGCACCAAGCCAUUUUGGAUAUCUUAAAACAUAAGGGCUUUGGGGACAAAUGGAUUGGGUGGAUAAAGGACAUUCUCAACACUAGAACAUCUUCAGUACUCCUCAAUGGUGUACCAGGGAAAGUCUUUCAUUGCAGAAGAGGUGUCAGACAGGGGGAUCCUCUAUCCCCACUUCUAUUUGUGCUAGCAGCGGACCUUUUUCAGUCAAUCCUAAAUAAAGCCAAAGAGGAAGGAAGCUUACACCUACCGAUCCCUGAAAGAGCUGGACCUGACUUCCCAGUUAUACAAUAUGCAGAUGACACCCUUCUGGUCAUGGAAGCAGAUCCUUGCCUGUUGUUGCAUCUCAAGCAUCUGCUUAAUCAGUUUGCGGAGUCAACUGGUCUUAAAGUAAACUACAACAAGACUGUUAUGGUACCUCUGAACACUUCUGAGGAUAAACUCCGACAACUUUCGUCAAUGUUCGAUUGCCAUGUCGGAAGCUUGCCACUCACCUACUUGGGGCUACCACUUGGUGCAACAAAGCCUAACAUUGAGGAAUUCCUUCCAUUAAUACAGAAGGUGGAGCGAAGAUUGGGAGGCAUCUCUAACAUGUUAUCUCAAGGGGGCAAACUCGAACAGGUAAAUUCAGUCUUUUCUUCCUCACCAAUGUUUCAUAUGGCAACCUUAAAGCUUCUCAAGGGGGUUAUCACACAAUUAGAUAAAUAUAGGAAACACUAUCUCCGCAGAGGAUCUAAUUUGAAUUCUAGGAAACCCUCCAAGGCAGCUUGGCCUAUGGUGUGCCUACCAAAACAGCAAGGAGGACUUGGGGUUAUUAACCUGAACAGUCAAAAUGAUGCCCUUCUUCUCAUGUUCCUACACAAGUUCUUCACUAGAGCUGAUACUCCCUGGGUUCAUUUAUUCUAGGAUAACUAUUAUUCUAAUGGGAAACUGCCUGGACAGCACAAAAAGGGCUCAUUCUGGUGGAGAGAUUUAGUCAAGCUACUGGACAAAUACGAAGGAAUAGUGUCGGCAUGGGUAUCGGAUGGCUCUACUGUAUUGUUCUGCAUGGACACAUGGAUUGAGCAGGUCCUCUACCUGGAAUUCCCCCAGUUAUUCUCUUAUGACAAAAACAAACUGGUAUCAUAUAAGGAGGCUACAAGCAGAAUAUCACUGUCUCAAAAUUUUCACCUGCCACUUUCAGAAGAAGCUCAUCAGCAGUUGCUGAUUCUGCAGAAUAGAUUGAGGAAUACUGUGAGAGCUCAAGGCAGAGAUAAGUGGACUUACAUUUGGGGAAGGCCCCCGCUUUUCGGUAGCAAAAACUUAUAAAGUCAUAACGGGCACAAGAACCAUACAUCCAAUUCAUAGAUGGAUAUGGAAAUCUAAAUGCCAAAAGAAGCACAAGAUAUUUUUCUAGCUAUUAAUUAAAUUCAGACUGAGCACCAAAGACAUUCUAAGCAGAAAAACAAUGUAUUUGGAUACUUAUACUUGUGUGCUUUGCAUCCUCCAGGAAAAGGAGACAAUGCCGCACUUAUUCCUGAGAUGCAACUUCUCGAAAGCUUGUUGGAGCACUUCCUCCAGGCCACCCUUUCGGAUUUUUAACUCAAUCAAGGAUAAACUGAACGUUCCCUUCUACAUGGAGAUCAUCAUUUUAAUGGCCCGGAGCAUUUGGUCCGUGAGGAAUGACUGGACCUUUCAACAAUGUCCCCCCUCGGUACAGAGCUGCAAAAGGAAAUUCAUGGAAAAAAUGAAUACCGUCUGUCUACAUAGAGCGAAAUCUUCCCUAGCUCUUGCCAUGAUGGAAUGGUUGUAAUCUUUUCUUUCUUUUUUCUUCCUUUGUUGUUGCCUUUUCUACCUUCUACUUCUGUUGUUUCUUGGACUCGCCUUUCAUUUAAUAUAUUUCAGUAGGAGCUUGCCCCUCCUGUUCCUUCAAAAAAAAACUUCGAGCACUUCUCCAUGGGCUUCAUCACCAUAGUUUCGAUUUGGGCAAUUUUAUUGCACCGAACCUUCCAGCUUGCAUUUUCUUAACUGAAUCUCGAGCAUGGGGCAAUAUUCUGGCAUCUACAACGGACCUGCCAUCAAGCAUUCCAAUGUAUAGAUCUAUCCUUUUUGUUUGCCUAAUAUUCGGAUGCAAUACUCCGCCGUGUGUAAAAAAAUCCAAGGCCAACGGACCAUACCGUGUUAACAAUUUUAGUGCCUAAUCCAAUACAAAAUUAGUCCCAGUUUGUACGGCUACUCAUUCAUUGCAGUCUUCAGACGAACUCUACGGUGACACAUUUUUGGAAUACUCUGGCAUGUGCAACUGACCUGCCAUCAAGCACUCCGAUGCAUGGUUCUAUCCUCUUUGGUUGCCUUAUAUUCUGUAAAAAAAAAUAUUCAAGGCCAACAGACCAUACCGUGUUAAAAAUUUUAGUGCCCAAUCCAAUACAAAAUCAGUUCCAGCACCUCCACAGUGAUUAUAUUGUAAUUCAAUCACCAAAAUCCGAAACUAUGGUCUAGUGAAGCUAUACUGUGUACGAAAUAUCAAUUCAUGGGAUUUGUCAACGAUUUUAUGAAGCUGUAUAUAUGAUACCUUCCACUACGGGAUUUGUGUACAAAAUAUUAAUUCAUGAGAUUUGUCCAUGAUUUUAGGAAGCUACAAUAUCUUCAACUACCGGAUUGCGUAUAUAAGAUAAUCUUCACCAGUUAUCACAGGUGGAAGCACGCGUUAAAUAAUAAAUGACUAAUGCUGAUUCAACUCUGAGAUGAAAAGGAUUCUGUUCUCAAGAAUCGAAAAAAAGGUAACGUGCUCAUAACAAUGUCGACUCUUCACAUCUGAGAAGCUAGCUCCGUGAUGCUUAUCUGGCUAGUGAACUACCUACCGUAUGUUAUUAAAACAUUUUUGCUGCCUAUAAAUUGGGCAUCAUUUCAGCAGGCCACCACGGCACCUGAGCUUGCCAUCUUUUCCUGCUCUAUCUCACUCAUUUGUCCCGUAGCUACUAGCUAAGCCACCAUAUCAUCCAUGGCUUCUGGUGCCUCCACCACGCUGAAGAUGGCCUCUAUCGCCGCUUGCAUCCUGCUGGUCCUGCUGUCCAAUGGCCACCCUACCGCGGCGGCCGUUGAUUGUAUUGCGGCUUGCAAAGAACCGUGCCAGGGUUUUUCUAACGGGCUCUGCGCGGGUGGAGCCACCAGCGGUUGUACGACUACGGCAGCAGCUACAGCAUGCCGCAAUUUGGCGUUCUCGCAGUGUGCGAACACCUGCUUCACAGUUUGCACUGCUGUGAGCAUCGCGCCUUGCACUUGAAGAUGCAUUCGUGUUCCUACUUCCACAUUAUUGUUACUGCAGAAUAAUAUGGGUCAGUGCACACAAGCAUACAUGAUGAGCCACUGUCGUUUUUCCAUUUUGUCAUUUAUUUAUUGAAGGCAAUGUACGUUUUUCCAUUUGAUCAUUUACUUAUUGAAGGCAAUGUACGUGUCUAUCUCCUGUGUGGUUGAGCAUGUCAUCUUGGAAUUCUGUCCAAAGUUUUACAUACCACCUUGUAUUGUUGUGUGUGGGUAUCAAUAUAAUUUAUGAACUAUCUUCCUUUACCAUAGACAUAUCUAUGUUUAUUUGCAAGCGUUAGCUAAAUUUUUCCUUGAUUGUGUAU